rnacentral:lncRNA from 1 species
UUCUUCCACCAAGGUCAUCAUCUACUCUAGCACCAUAACUUGCACUUUCUUGUGCUGCUGUUUCAUGCUCUUUUAAGUAAUCUUGAACCAAUGCUCUCAUUUCUCCCUUGCCAAAAUUGGUUUGAAAAAGAUCCUUCCUAUCUUUUAAUACUAUCUUUCCAUCUUUCCAACAAAUAAUUCCUUGCCGUAUCAUAUUAUUAAAUUCAUUGCAAUCUUUUCUAGUGUGUGAUGCGUCAUUACACCAAAUGCAUCUUUGUACGUAUCCUUAUUUUGAAACAUUCUUCGAAUUAUUUGUAGAAGUAUUCUCUUCAAGUCUUGUCAAUUUGAUUUAAAGAUCUCGCAUUCCUUCUAUAAUUUCUUCCAUCCCUAUAUAUGCUUUCUUUGAUAAGGAUGUCGAAGGUUGAACUAUAGGCAUUGUUGGUGGUAUUGUACGUACUGGAGCUUUGGGUGCUUGUACUGUUUUCGGAAUAUUGCUCCUAUCCUUCUUCCUUUCUUUUUUUUGUAAGCAACUCCAUCGCAUCUUCAACAUUCUUCCACUUUGUUGUCAAUCCUUCAUCUUCUUCUUUGUCUUCAAGAAGGAGUUCUAAUUUCCCUUGCAAUUCUCCAUCAGCAGCUUGAAAAAAUAGAUCAACUUUGUUCGGCUCCAAUGUCAAUUUUUCUACCUUCGACAAUUGAGAGUACUGCCUCUCAAAUUCUCUUAGUAGCUCUGUUGCUUGCAAAUUCUUAUUAGGCCGUUCAAUCCAUUCCAAAAACAACUUCUUAGUAACGUGAUCAGCAUCUUCUAAGAAAUAUUCGUCUUUCAAUGCAUGUGAAAAAACCUCCCAUGAAUUCCCAUAAUGAUCCAUAAUCGAUGUAAUAUGGUCUCUUAUCUCCGACAUCGUAGCAAGUCCAAAUAAUUCAACCAUUUUCUUCUCAAAAACCUGAUUUAAUUCCAUUUCACGAACAUAACAUCUUAAAUACCUUGAAAUAUUCCUUCCAUCAAAUUGAUCAAUUUUAUUGACCACUGCUUGCAAUGCUUUGGUUGCCAAAGCUUUCUUUCGAUCAUUGCUUUGCUGUUGCUGCAUUGAUAAUGAGAAGGCUUGAAACAUACUAGCAAUAGAUGGAUCCAUGUGCAUACCUUGUCCUUUAGAAGAACCCCCACCAGAAACUCCUCUCAAAAAUCCUUCAAAAUUUUUAUUUUCGUUUUCCAUAAAAUAAAAAUAAAAAUAAAAUAAAAAAAAAUCGAAUACCUUCUACCUCAAGCCUUCAUGUCGAGUUCACCACUUUAUGUCAUAUUACGUGCUUUCUUGCUCGAGAACGCGCCGGACGUCUGGCUGUAGAAGGUAGUAUGGAGAUUCACGAAUAUUCAAGCAGUCUAUCGGUUAUUGACUGUUGGAAUAUAAACAACUGCAAGAAUACACUGUAAAUCUAUAUAGAUGCCCUUCGUCUGCUUGCCGAAGUCCUUUUUGCCCGAGCCAGUUGGUCUCUAGAGGUUACAGAGAACCUCGAACAACCCAAACUGCUAAUCUUCGAUACUGCUUUAUACUCACAAUCUUGUAUCCACUGACUAUCUUGUUAGAUUAACUUAAUAAAUUUCAUUCACUCUACAUACUCAAUCCUAUAGACAUCCUUUUAAUUCUUCAUCACAGACGUAACUCGAUUUCAGAAAACAAUCAAGAGUAAUCAAAUCCACUUCAUUAAAAAUCCCGAUUCACCAUUACAACAGUGACUUUGGCAACGAUUGCCUCAGUCUUUCCAAAACUCUAUGAAGAAAAAAAAUCCAAUUCUCUGUCUUUUUUCCCCGCUCGAAGCAUGAAGCUAGCUCUUUGAUCCUUCUCAAAAAAAACUCUCCUCUCCCCCCUCUCAUUUCUUAACCUUAAUUCUAAAUUUCUUGAAUCUUCCGUCUAAGAUCGAAAAUUGGCUCCCGCCGUCAGAGCUUGGAUCUAAAAUUGGCUCUUGUCGUCACAGCUUUCUCUUCCAUUUUUACCUUUAAGAGAUCUUUUUAUCGAAAGGACGUUCCCGGAACGGCACAAAGGACGAAACAGUCUAAAACGAAAUCGGAGCCCCGUAAACGGGACCACAUUGAGUCGCUCGACCAAUUUAGGUCUCAUAUUGGGUAAGAGUCCAGUAGUAAGACCUGGAUGUUCCUGUAAUUGGAUCAAAUUGAUCCUUCGCAUCAGACUCGCUGAGGCCCGUAGUAAGAUCCAAAUUUUCCCGUAAUUAGAUUGCAUUGGGUUGUCCGACCAAUUGAGGUCUCAUAUUGGGUAAGAGGACUUGGAUUAGAUGUCUUGAAAUUGGAUCCAAUUGGCUCUUCGAACUAGGCUCACCCGUUGUUGAAUUGGUCCUUUCUCUUUUUGCUGACUUCCGUUAUUGGAAUCGAACGGAGCAUUUCAGUAUGCCCCAGCUGACUGUAACGGGUUGACUGACCCUGGCCUCCCAGUAUUUGCACUGGAAUUGGUCGUUGCCCCUAAUAUUCGAGAUAACUAAAUAUUAAUAAAAGUCCCCUUUCUUUAUAUUUUUACGAUAUACUCGUGUUACAACACGACAACGGGCCUCUUAGCCAAUAUGAGACCUGAAUUGAUCGAGCGACUCAAUGUGGUCCCGAUUACGGGGGUUCCGAUUCCAUUUCAGGCUAUUCCAUCCUUUGUGCCAUUCCAGGAACGUCCUUUCGGUAAAAAGAUCUCUUAAAGGUAAAAUUGGAGGAGAAAGCUCUGACUACGGAGCCAAUUCCAGAUCCAAGAUGGAAGAUUGAAGAAAUUCAGAGGCUAGGGUUUGAAUGAGGGAAGAAUUAGGGUUAAAAGAGAGGAUAGGUUAAGAAAUAAAGGGAAGAGAAUAAGUUUUUUAGAAGGGUCGGAGAGCGAGCUUCAUGCUUCGGGGCGUGGAAAAGAGAUAGAAAAUUAGAGUUUUUUUUUCUUCAUAGGGUUUUGGAAAGACUGAGGCAAUCAUUGUUGAAGUCAGUGUUGUAAUGGUGAAUUGAGAUUUUUAAUGAAGUGGGUGUGAUUACUCUUGACUGUUUUGUGAAAUCGAAGUUACGUUUGUGAUUGAAGAAUUAAAAGGGUGUCUAUAGGAUUGAGUAUGCGGAGUGAAUGAAAUUUUUUGGGUUAAUCUAACAAGACAGUCAGUGGAUACAAGGUCGUGAGUAUAAAGCGAUAUCGGAGAUUAGCAAAUUGGGUUGUUCGGGAUUCUUUGUAAUGUGUAGAGACCUACCGGCUGGGGCAAAAAAGACUUCGGCAGGCAGUCGAAGGACAUCCAUAUAGAUUUAUGAUAUAUUCUUGCAGUUGUUUAUAUUCCAACAGUCAAAAACCGAUAGACUACUUGAAUAUUAGCGAAUCUCCAUACUACCUUCUACAGCCAGACGCCCGACGCGUUCUCGAGCAGGAAAGCACGCAAUAUGACAGUGGAUUACCCUCUUCUAAAUUGAUAUAGUUCUUAGUAUUUUCUUUGUCUUCAAGUCGUUUCUUCUAUUUAUCUUGAGCAGUAUUAGAUAUUUUUCUGAUUGUUAUUAUAAUAGAGCUUGUUGAAAUAAAGAGUACAAUUGCACAAAUGCAAGAACAAUUAAGAGAGAUGAUGCUUACAAUACAUCAACUUAGCUUACUACCACAAGGAUCAAUAAGAAUGAUAGAAAAUAAGGAUAUAGAGUUGAUUAGAGCUACUUCAACAUCUGCACCAAAUCAUGUCCUUCUAUCCAUGAUGGAACAUCCUUGAAAUCUUAGAAAACCAAGAAUUUUCCUUCCAAGCAGUUUAAUGGUACAAGAUCCAAAUUUCAAGGAUUUAUCAAUCAAGUAGAAGUUGCGAUUUAACUUCAACUUCAAAGCUAUCCAACUCUUAGAUCACAAGUUAGAUUCAAUGAUCUACUUCUUUCAUAUUCAAUACUAUUAUGAUUUUUAUCUUUUCUUAAAUGAGAAGAUCCAAUAUUAGAUAAUCUAGAUGCAUUUUUAGUAGAAUUUGGAUCCAUGCAUAGAGAACAUGAUACAACUUGUGUUGCAACUAAGAAGAUCUAUAUUUUGUAACAAGGCAAUCAAUCUAUAACAUUAUAUGCUUCACAUUUUUGACAACUUAUAAUUGAUAUCAAGUGAAAUGAUGUUGUACUUAUAAGCCAAUUUUUUUAUAGAUUACAAUAUGAAGUAGAAAAAUUAAUGCUCAACUUAUCUAAUCUUCAAACAUUGACUCAAGAAAUUGACUUUGUUGUGAAGUGCAACAAUCGGCUUUUUGAAUUUUAAUCUAAAAGUCACACAAGUGGACCUCAACAUUAUUACAAUUUAAUGGCAACACCAAUAUCUCCUCAAUAUAUACAUUCAUAAGUAGAGGAUACUCAAAUUGAUGCACUUCAUUUUAAACCUCUUACUGAGCAAGAAAAGACUCAUCACUAUCAAGAAGGAUUAUGCUUAUAUUAUGGAGAACCUAAACUUACUACUCAAUAUUAUCCAAAGAAGCGAUGAAACUAUAAAAUGAAGAACACAAUUAUCAAAGAAGACAAUGUAAGAAAAAAUGAAUUUGUCUAGCUACAAUAGAGACCGUGCGGUAGAAAUCUUAUACAAUUUCUAAUAAAGGUCCUAUCUUCUAUUCAAAAAUCUUAUAUUUAUUUUAUAAUAGAUGUGUAUUUAGGACCUAAUAAUUAUAAAGCCUGUGCCUUAAUAGAUACAAGAGCCUCAACUUAUUUCUUAAAUAUAGAAUUUGUUAAAAGUCAUAAAAUAUCAUUAGUACAAAAGUCUAAACCUGUUCAUAUAGAAGUCAUAGAUGGUCAUCAAUUAUCCUCUAGAGAUGUUACUUAUGAAACACUUCCUAUAGAUGUAACAAUAAUAGUCAUAGUAGUUAUGUAAUCUUUAAUAUAAUUAGAUUUCUUUCUAUCUAGUCAUUUUAGGUUUAUCAUGAUUAGAAAAGUAUAAUCCUUACAUAGAUUGGAUUUCUUGUAUUCUUGACUUUUCUAAAAAUAUAAUUAAGAAUGAAAUUAAUUCAAUAGAAAGUGAUAAAUCUAGCAUAAUAAAACCUAUAUUUAUAAGUAUGAGAUCUUUCUUGUAUAUUAUAAAAAAAAGUUCACCUUCGGUCAUUUAUGCCACACCUAUUUGUAAUGAUGUAAAGACUUCAAGUGAAAUUCCAAGCCAAUAUUAAGAGUUUCAAGAUGUAUUUGCAAGAAAGAAUAUAGAUACUCUUUCAAAAAACCAUCUCUAUGACUGCUCAAUUAAUCUUCAAGAAAGAACACAACCGCCAUUUGGACCAAUAUACAAUUUAUCAUAAAAUAAAUUUUUUGAAUUAAAUAAAUAUAUUGAAGAAAAUCUAGCCAAAAAUUUUAUAUCCCAUUCCAAAUCACCAAUAUGAACUCUAAUCUUAUUUGUAAAGAAAAAAGAUGGAUCAUUACAAAUGUGUGUUGAUUAUCAAGGACUCAAUAAGAUCACCAUCAAGAAUAGGUAUCCUAUACCUUUGAUAUCCUAAAUUCUCGAUUAAUUGAAUCAAGUUAAGAUUUGUACAAAAAUAGAUUUAUAUGGAGUAUAUAAUCCAAUACAUAUUAAAAAAAGAAAUGAAGGGAAGACUUCAUUUCAAACUAAGUAUCGACAUUUUGAAUACAACGUCAUGCCUUUUGGACUUACAAAUGUACCAAGAACUUUUCAACAUCUAAUGAAUGAUGUUUUUUAAAAAUUUUUGGAUGAUUUUAUUAUUUUUUAUCUAAAUAAUAUCUUGAUUUAUUUUAAAAAUAUAAAUAGAUAUGAACUUCAUGUUUGUUAUGUAAUACAAAAAUUAAGAGAUGUCCAAUUCUAUGCCAAGAUAGAAAAGUGUGUAUUUUGAACUAUUCAAGUUCACUUCUUAAGAUACAUCAUUUCAAAUGAUGGACUUGUAAUGGAUCCUAAGAAAGUUCAAACUAUUAUGAAUUAGAAGAUUUCAAAAAUGGUAAGAGAUGUCUAUUUCUUUUUGGACUUUGCCAACUAUUAUUGGAUCUUCAUCAAAGACUUUUUUCAAGUUAUAGCUCUACUUAUAUGUUUGACUUGCAAAGAAAAACUUGAGUAGAGCAGAGAAGUUGAAGCAUCUUUUGAAGCUUUGCAGUUAGCUUUUAUUUUUGCACCAAUCUUGUAUUGUGUCAACUUUUCUAAGGCAUUUUCUAUAAAAAAAAUUGCAUCAAACUUUACUUUACAUGUCGUUGUCAUAUUGUAACAUGACUAUAUGGUAAAAAUAUAAAUAAAAAAGAUAUUAUUAAUAUUUAGUUAUCUUGGAUAUUAGAAACAGUAGCCAAUUCCAGUACCAAUAUUCAGGGUCAGUUAAUGUCACCCCACCGGCAUCAUCGAACCAAGUUCCUUCCAUACCAACGGGACAACUAGGAUCAUUUUCCAACCCUACAUAGAACAAGCCUAGUAGGUAUAUAUCGGUGGAAACACCCAAUAUGCAUGAUGGAGGUGCAGGAAGACCACUUCGUCAUUUCCAUUGCAGAUAGAUUGGUCAUUAUGCUAAUAAAUAUUCUAAUUCCUAAACUAUUGAUGAUUACGUUGUCGUAUUGUAGUUCGGCUACUAUAUGAAAAUAAUGUAAUUAUGUACUUAAUAUAAAAUUUAUUAAGUAACAUGAUGAGAGCCAUGUUAGAAGAUUUUAGUUGGUUGUAGAAUAUAAUUUGAUUAUUACUUUGAGAAGAGGUUGUUUAAAAAGAUUACUAUAGAAUUUGUAUAACUUUAAUUUUCUUUUGAUAGUGAAUUUUAAGAUUGGUUUUGGUUGAUAAUAACUUCUAAAUACUUAGAGUCACCUUUAUUAGACAUUGGUGACCUUUGAAAACUUAUUUUGGUUCUUUUAUUUGGUGUUUAGAGCAUAAAUUAUAUAAAUCUUAUAAAAAAAAUGAUUGAAGAAGGAUUUUGGUAGCAAAAGGAGUAAUUAGGGCACCAAUAUAGAUGAAUGGAGAUGAAUAAUGAAAAUCACCAUUCCUAUUGAUCAAAAAUCAUGACCAAUAGGCUUUGAGGAGGCUACCUAAGGCCAUAUUAGGGAUUAGGAUUAGUUUUUCGAAGCCAUUCGAGUUUUGAAGGCUAGGAUCAGAAGUUUUAGGUUUUUGGCUAUGAUUUUGGUGCAAGUUUUGUAUAGUUUGGAGUUCAUAUGAAGGAGAUACAAGCACUCAAAGUUAAGGUGUUGAUUUGGGAGCUACUGUCACUCUUUUUGGCAUAACGCAUGCGUACGGAUAGCAAUUGAGGAUCGGCAACUAUGACUAAAGAGAGCACUUUUGUGGCUACACUUUUCAUGUAUUGCUUAUUGGAUUCCAAGUUGAAGUGAAGGAAUUAUUGGAUUUUGAAGUCAGUACAUGCAAUCUAAGGGUAGUAAGUAGUCCGAUUUGCUAGUGGUUGUCUCUUGAGAUAUAUCUUGAGCAAUUUGACAAGAUUUUUGCUCAAAUUUUCAAAGAAUGUGUAAUUGUAUGUUAAUAAACUUUGUACAUAAGUAUUAUGAUAUUUGAGUAUUGGGUUCUUGAGAUAUUAAGAAAAUAGUAUUCGGAUGCUUGUAAAUUAGGGUUUAGAGCAUCUGCUAGAGUUUCUAAGAUGCCAAAAGAUUGGGAGUGAAUUUGCAAUUGGUUUCUUUUGUGAUAAAAGUUAAAGGUGAAUUCUACUGAUCUUAUAAAUUUGAAACAAAUUGAAUGAUUAGAUCAAGAGUUAUGAUUUUAUAAAUUUUGGGACAAGAAAACCUUCGCGGAAAAAAUAUGUUUUGAAGGGGUUUUGUUAUAUUUUGAGUUUUAUAAAAAAUAAAAGAAUUUUGGGAGGCUAAGAUAAGAUUCAUAUAAAGGUUUAAGCUACACUCUCUACAGCUAAAUACCUAGUGUAUUCCUAGAUAGCAAAUCAUGCCAUACGACAGAUCUGGUGAACCUGAUGUGAAAGUUUCUGGGGUAUAGAGUUUUGAAGAAAUUUUUUGGCUUUCUAUUAUGGAUGGGAGGCAAAGAAGUGGUAGUAGGAAUUGCACUGGAGAAUCUCCAUUGCAACUUGAUCUUAGUACAAUUCAAAAGUUUUAAGCAUUUAUACUUUUUAUGCAAGAAUAACAAGUAGUGGAACGCAAGGUGGUAAUGGCUACUAAAGCCUUCCAAUCUGUUGUUGGUUUAUUGGAUCAAUUUGAUGGAAGAAAUAUUUCCAAGUAUCUUAAGUAUUAUUCUCGGAAGAUGGAGCUCAAUAAAGUACCGAAGAAAGAUAUGAUCCUUGCAUUUGAGCUUGUAGUUAUAUCUAAGCUUCAUGAACAUAUAAAAGAAAUUAUUAAAACUUAUGUAUUCUUUGGAAGAUACAAAAAGGGUGACAAGAAAAUUGUUCAUAGAAUAGAUCAAUAAAUCCAACAAGGGUUUGGUUGCAACAGAGUUAUUUCAAGAAUUUGAAAGUUAAUUUCUUCAAUUGUCUCGAGUGGAAAAGCUUAUACUUAAAAAUGAUAACGUGGAGUUAUUUCUUCAAUCAGCUAGUAAUGAUUUACAAAGGAAGUUGGAAUUACUAUUGGAAGAUAAUACAGAGGAUAACGGACUUACUACUAAUUGAAAGAAAGUCUCUGAAGCUGUGGGCAUACUUGCCAAAAGAGAGUAUCGGAGGAGUAAGGUGGUAGUAAGGCAAGAGACUAGACCUCCACCAACUACAACAUCUCGUAGGUAAAUGCCAAAAUCUACUAUACUAGUAAGUACUAUUCCAAUUCCUAUGUCUAUAGUUGUAUCACUGAAAGAUGUAAUUGAUGAGUUGAUAAAAAGAAUGAAAGACUUACAAAUCAAACUGGCAAAGCUAGAGGAGAAAGAAAGAUUAUCUGAGAGCAAAUCUGUAUCAAAGCCAGGAUAUAUACAACGAUGUAUUUGGUGCGAUAGUAUGGAGCAUCCUCAAAGGGAAUGUGGAGAUUUUGCUGAUAUUCUGUGAUAGGGAGUAAUUUUAUGGAAGGACGAAAAAAUUGCAUUAUGAGAUACAAGUGAGUUUCUCAAUACCAAUUUUGAAAAAAAAAGGAUGAAAAAGGUUUUGGAAGAGCAUUUAUAUCAGUAGGCUAUGACAUGAAGAGAAGCUAUUACUUAUGGCAUUGAGGUUGUAAGAGAGAAGGAGGAUGUUUUUGACAAGCAUGUAAACACAGGGGAUCUAUGAAAUCAUGCUAUUAUUAGCAUGAAUAAAGAAAAAAUAACAAGGCAAAAAUUACUUAAUACAGCCACAAUAAUUAGAAAUGCUACAACAUGGGAUGAUCCUAUAGAUGCUAUGUCUGUACAUGCUUAUUUGACAAAGUUCUAACAUGAAGCUUUACUGGAGGUAAAAAGAGGAAGAAAUAAAAUAGAAGAAAAUUUUGAAGAGCCAACCAACAAGAGGAGAUUUCAAAGAUAUGUAGAAAUGACACAAAAUAAAGAAAUACCUAUAUCACAAGCUAAUAGACUAUCUAGGGCUGGGCCAUGGACAUCGCACCCUAGAAAAGUACCACUGCCAAAAGAAAAAUGGGAAGAAAUGAUAGAAGUUGAUAAAGACAAAACGAAGAGUAAGCAUGUUACUUAUAAACUUCAAUCAGAUAUUGAGGCAGCCAUAGAUUUAAAAGGAGUAUUGGUGUCAUGGACAUAUUCAUGUAAGUCAGUAAUUACAUAUAUAAAUAGGUAGAAGUAAGUAAAAGUAGGUAAAAGUAAGUUAAUUCUGUAGUAUUUGAUAUGAAAGCUUCUUAGAAGCUUUAUAGAUGCUGCUUUGACUUCAUAGGUGGCUUUAAUUGAUUUUUUGGAUUAGAAAUGUAGUCAAUAAGUUGGCCAUCUGCCACACAUGUUGUUAGCUUGAAGACCAAGCUAACUAUGUGGCCCACAUGUAGAAAAACUUUCUUUGUAAGUCAAGACAUGUAUCCUACAAAGUCAACAUAUGUUAGAGGUCCUAUAGAAUGUCACCACAUAGUCCCUAGUUAGAUAAUAUAUAUAGAGACAAGAGUGAAGCCUUCAUCACUCUUGUAAACUCCUUUCUUCUUUCCAGUCUUGUUUCAAGAGUCUUCAUAUUUUAUAGUCUUAAGCAAUAGCCAUUCCAGUUUCUCUUUCAAUAUACAUAUUUAUUUAUUUAUAUUUUGUUACCUUUCUUUGAGCGAAGGCUCACUUGUUUGAAUUGCUUUUCAUCAAGUUCUUGUCCUUGACCAAUUGACAAGAGUAUACUUACAAUAUCAAAGCUUUAUCUUAUCUUGAUUAAGAAUAGAUUAUCUAUUUUUCUUAAUAACAUACAAGCAUAUUAGAAGUUGCAGAUUACCCUUUUCUAAAUUGAUAUUGUCCUUAGUCUUUUCUUUGUUCUCAAGCCCUCUCUUCUAUUUGUCUUCAGUGAUAUUAGACAUCUUCUCUUUUCUAAGUGUUAUUAUGGCAGAACUUGUUGAAAUGAAGAGUGCAAUGGCACAAAUGCAAGAGCUAUUGAGAGAGUAAAUGCUUGCGAUGCAUCAAUUCAAUUUACCACCACAAAGAGCAACAAGAUUGGCAGGAAGUGAAGAUAUAGAAAUAGUUGGAGUUGCUUCAACAUCUGCACCAAAACAUAUCCUUUCUCCUAUGGUGGAACGUCCUUCCAAUGUUAGAGAACCAAGAAUUGCCCUACCCGAGAAGUUUGAUGGCACCAGAUUCAAGUUUUGAGGAUUUAUCAAUGAAGUGUAAUUUGUGAUUGAACUUCAACCCGAAAGCUAUCCAACUCUAGAAUCGUAAGUUAGAUUCAUUGAUACGCUUCUUUCAGGUUCAGCACUAUCGUAUUUUUCAUCUUUUCUUAAACAACGAGAUUCAAUAUUGAAUAAUCUAGAGGUUAUUCUGGCAGAGUUUUGAUCCAUGUAUGGAGAACAUGAUGCAAUUCGUGUUGCAACUAAUAAGAUCCAUAUUUUAUGACAAAAAAAUCGAUUAAUAACGUUGUAUGCUUCACAUUUUUGACAACUUACAACUGAUAUCAAGUGAGAUGAUGCUGCACUUAUUAGCUAAUUUCUCUACGGAUUAUAAUAUGAGGUAAAAAAAUAAUGCUCAACUUACUUGAUCCUCAAAUAUUGAGUCAAGUAAUUGACUUUGUUGUGAAGUGCGACAAUCGCUUUUUUGAAUUCCAAUUUGAAAAUCGUACAAGUGGACCUCAACGUAACUAUAAUUCAAUAGCAAUACCAACAUCUCUUCAACAUAUAUAUUCAAAAGUAGAGGAUAUGUAAAUUGAUGCAAUACGUUUCAAACCUCUUACUGAAGAAGAAAAGACUCAUCAUCAUCAAGAAGGAUUAUGUUUAUAUUGUAGAGAACCAAAACACUUUGCUCAAUAUUGUCCAAAGAAACGACGCAAUUGCAAAAUGAGGAGUAUGGCUGUCAAAGAAGACAAUAUGUCAGAAAAUGAGUUUGUCCAGUUACAAUAGGGAUCGUGCAGCUAGAACCUUGCACAACAUCUAAUAAAGGUCUUAUUCUCUCCUCACAGCCCUCUCCUUGUUUUACAUUAAAUGUUAUUUUAGAACCUAAACAUUACAAAGCCUGUGCCUUGUUAGAUUCACGAGCCUUAGCGUGUUUCUUAGAUGAAGAAUUUACUAAAAGAUAUAGCAUAACUUUAGUAAAGAAAACUAAACUUGUUCAUGUAGAAGUCAUAGAUGGUCGUCCAUUGUCUUCUAUAGAUAUUACUCACAAAAUCCUUCCUAUAGAAGUAAUAAUCAAUGGUCGUAAUAGCUUUGUAAUAUUUAAUAUCAUUAGAUCUCUUUCUAAUUCAAUUAUUUUAGAUUUAUUGUGGUUAAAAAAAUACAAGCCUCAAAUAGAUUGGAUUUUCCGAACUCUUACUUUCUCUAAAAUUAUAACUACUAGUGUAGUUAAUCAAGUAGAGAGUCAUAAGUCCAGUUCAAUUAAACCUGUGUUUAUAGGUGUAAAAGCUUUCUUAUAUGCUGCUAUAAAAGAAUCAUCAUAUAUUAUUUAUGCCACACCUGUUUUUAAUGGUGCAAAGACUUCACGUGGCAUUCUAAGCUAAUAUCAAGAAUUUUAAGAUGUAUUUGAAAAAAAGAAUGUGAAUACACUCUCAGAACAUAAUCCCUAUGAUUGCUCAAUUGACCUUCAAGAAGAAGCACAACCACCAUUUGGACCAAUCUACAGUUUAUCACAAAAUGAAUUGAUUGAAUUCAAGGAGUAUAUUGAAGAAAAUCUAGUCAAGAAUUUCAUAUGCCAUUCUAAAUCUCCGACAAGAGCUCCAAUUCUAUUUGUGAAGAAAAAAGAUAGAUCAUUGUGGAUGUGUGUUGAUUAUCGAGGACUCAACAAGAUUACCAUUAAAAAUAGGUAUCCACUAUCUUUAAUAUCUAGACUUCUUCAUCAGCUAAAUCAAGCUAAGAUCUAUAUAAAAAUAGAUCUCCGGGGAGCAUACAAUCUAAUACGCAUCAAAGAAGGAGAUGAAUGGAAGACUGCGUUUCAAACUAAGUAUGGAUAUUUUGAAUACAACGUCAUGCCUUUUGGACUUACAAAUGCACAAGCAGCUUUUCAACAUCUAAUGAAUGAUGUUUUUUGAGAUUUUUUGGACGAUUUUGUGGUCUGUUAUCUAGACGACAUCUUGAUCUAUUCUAAGAAUCCAGAAGAACAUAAACUUCAUGUUCGUCGUGUGUUACAAAAAUUAAGAGAUGCGGGAUUCUAUGCCAAGAUAGAAAAGUAUAUAUUCCAUACUACUCAAGUCGAUUUCUUAGGUUACAUCAUUUCAAAUAAUGAACUUAUGAUGGAUCCUAAGAAAGUUCAAAGUAUUAUAGAUUGGAAGAUUCUAAAAAUUGUAAGAGAUAUUCAAUACUUUUUGGGAUUUUCCAACUACUAUCGAAUCUUCAUCAAAGACUUCUCUCAAGUUGUAGCUCUACUUAUACGUUUGACUUGUAAAGACAAACUCCAAUAGAAUCAAGAAGCAGAAGUUACUUUUGAAUCUUUGAAAACAACGUUUGUUUCUGUACCAAUCUUGUAUCGUGUUGAUUUUUCCAAAGUAUUUUUUAUGGAAACAGAUAUAUGAGACUUUGCUUUAGGUGCGGUUUUGUCACAAAUGGGAAUAGAUGAAAAACUUUAUCCAGUAGCCUUUCAUUCAAGAAAAUUCUCAGUAGCAGAAAUCAAUUAUGAGAUCCAUGAGAAAGAACUUCUUGCAAUUGUGGAUUCUUUUCAAGAUUGGCGUCAUUAUCUAGAAGGUAAUUCCAGUCUAGUCACCGUAUAUACAGAUCAUAAGAACCUCAAGUAUUUCAUGUCAACACGCAUAUUAAAUCAUCGUCAAGCUUGUUGGAGCAUGUCUUUAUGAAGAUUCAAGUUCAUCAUCACUUAUCGGCCAAGAAAACAACAAGGUUUGUCCGAUGCCUUGUCUAGACAUUCUUAUCUUGCGCCAAAAGAAGAAGAUGCAGCUUUUGAGCAAUAAAGAAUGGUUCUCUUCAAGCUGGAGUAAUUUCAUCUUUGAGCAAUAAAAUCAACAUUGACUGUUGAUUUAACUUUUCUCAAGCUAAUCUAGUUAAGUAUGUCUUUAGACCUUCUUAUUCAUGAUAUCAAGAAUAAUUCUUCUAGAUCUCAUGAUCCCUCUAAAUUCGAGUUCAAGAAUAAUCUAUUUUAUUUCGAAGGACGCCUAUAUGUUCAAGAAGGAGAAGCAUGUUUAUGUGUUCUUCAAGCUCGUCACGACUUCCCAGCAGUAGGAUAUUUUGGAUAGAAUAAGACAUUGGAGCUAAUAUCUAGGGAUUUUUGGUGGCCUCAAAUGUGGAAGGCAGUCAAAGAUUUUGUACAAUCAUAUGAUGUUUGCUCAAGAUCAAAAACUCCUCGUCAUCGACCUUUUGGACUUCUUCAGCCAUUAUCCAUUCCAAAACAACCAUGCUCUUCUAUUUCUAUAGACUUCAUUAUGGAUCUUCCAAUCUCACAUUCUUAUGACUCUGUAUUCGUGAUAGUAGAUCGUUUCACCAAGAUGGUACAUUUUGUACUAUAUACAAAAUCUAUCACAAGUGAAGAAAUAACUAAGCUCUUUCUUGACAAUAUCUAUUGCUAUCAUGGAUUACCCAAGGAUAUUAUAUCAGAUAGGGGAAUCCAAUUUUUAUCAAGAUUUUAGCGGACUCUUUUCAAGAUUCUAAAAGUGGAUAUAAAACUAGCUUUGGCAUUCCAUCCUCAAACUGAUGGACAAACGGAGCAUGUUAAUCAAGUUUUGGAGCAAUAUUUAAGAUGUACUAUUAACUACCAACAAGAUGAUUGGACAACUCUUGUGCCAUUGGCAGAGUUUGCUUACAAUAAUAUAAUACAUUCUUCUACAAAACAAAUACUUUUCUUGGUUAAUUAUGGUUAUCAUCCACGACUUGAUACUUUUGACUUUUCAAAAUUUGAUAAUCCUGCUGCAAAAGAUUUGAUAAUUCAUUUGUCAGAGCUACAUGCAACAAUGAAGGUGCAGUUAAAAGAAGCUCAAGAAUAAAAAAAAGUCAAUGUGGAUGUCUAUCAAAAGAAACAACUACCAUUCCACUUAGGUGAUAAGGUAUAGCUACUUCGUUAUAAUAUCAAGACCACUCGUUCUUGUGAGAAGUUGGACAAUCAAAGGCUUGGACCAUUUUCUAUUUUUGUACAAAUCAAUCUAGUUGCAUAUCAUUUACAUCUAUUGGAGUCAAUGAAAUCCAUCCAAUAUUCCACAUGUCUCUUCUUGAACCAUACAAGACAGUGGACAUACUAAAAAGAUGACAAGCUCUACCUCCUCCUAUAGAAGUGGAUAAUAAUGAAGAAUUUGAAGUCGAAGAAGUCUUAGAUUCAAGGUGGCGCUGAAAUAAAUUGAAAUAUCUUGUCUAUUGGCGUGGAUAUGAUAUUAGUGAACACACAUGGGAGCCAGUUAAGAAUCUUGCAAAUACAACAAAGGCGGUGGAGGCUUUUCAUCAACGACAUCCAUCAAAAUCAAGAUGAAAAUCUUCUUUAUAAAAGAAACAAUAUCUAAGCAAGAUAAUAUUCUUCUUUCAAUCCUUGUUUGUAGCUUCUUUGUAGAUGUGACGCUCAGAAGAUGGAGAACCAAUAACUAGCAGAUUCAACUUAAGAGCCUUUAUUUGUUGACUUUCCAUACGAGACAUUAUGAUUGUCACAACCUUUAAGACGACGCAAUCGAGAUGAAGAUCUUUAAGAAUGACAUGUUCUUCCUCGAAUAGAUGGCAAGAUAAAAUGCAUUUGGUAUCACAACUUGGGAAGGGACUCCCGACGUUUGGUGAUUUUACUAGAGGUAGGAACAAUUCCUGAUGGUGUUUCAAAUGUUUUAUUCGAAGGAAGUUAUAAAGGCCUCAACAAUGAUCAAAUAACUGGGUAGUCUUUGUGCCUUGGUAUGGAACACUAUCGAUGGUUGAGAGGCCCUAUCAAUCAUCUUUGAAGAGAACAAAGAUCAAAGUAUGUGGCGGAUUCAAUUUGUUGCAUCAUAGAUUCCUUCAACAUAUGAUGACCACUCCUCAUAGAACUCAUUCUUAGAAGGGGAGGUAAUAUCAUGGACAUACUCAUGUAAGUCAAUAAUUACAUAUAUGAAUAGGUAGAAGUAAGUAAAAGUAAAUAAAAGUAAGUUAAUUCUAUAGUAUUUAAUAUGAAAGCUUUCUAGAAGCUUUAUAGAUGCUACUUUGACUUCAUAGGUGGCUUUAAUUGACUUUUUGGAUUAGAAACAUGGUCAACAAGUUGGUCAUGUGCCACACAUGUUGUUAGCUUGAAGACCAAGCUAACUAUGUGGCCCACACAUAGAAAAACUUACCUUGUAAGUCAAGGCAUGUAUCCUACAAAGUCAACACAUGUUGGAGGUCCUAUAGAACGUCGCCACAUAGCCCCUAGUUAGAUAGUAUAUAUAGAGAUAAGAGUGAAGCCUUCUUCACUCUUGUCAAUUCCUUUCUUGCUUUCAGUUUAGUUUGAAGAGUCUUCAUGUUUUCUAGUCUUUAGCAAUAGCCAUUCCAGUUUUUUUUUCAAUAUACAUAUUUGUAUAUUUAUAUUUUGUUACCUUUUUUUGAGUGAAGGCUCACUUCUUUGAAUUAAUUUUCAUCGAGUUCUUGUCCUUGAUAGUUGACAGGAGAAUCUGCUGUAUCUAGUACUUUGGAUACAAUCUUUAUUAAAAAAGAGGAAUAUGAAUUGGUAGAAUAUAGUAUCAAUAAAAAUGGACAAUUUGAUUUGGAUGAAUAUAAGGAUGAUGACAUGAGCCCUGGACACUAUAUCAAGAGACAUUGAGCAAGAUCCACUAUAGAGACUUUAGUAAAAAUGUAAGAUUUGGUAGAACCAGUAAUUGCUCUCAUUCACCAUGGAUCUGAAAUUAAUAUUAUGUCAAAAGAAGUCUAUAAAUGUGGAAGGUGGCCAUUGAUAUUAACCAGGGAUGGAUGAUUCAGAUAGCAAAUAAUACACAAGGAGAUCUUUAUGAUGUUUGCCCGAAUGUGAAGGUAAAAGUUGGAGAUGUGACUAUGGAACAAAUUCUUUUUGUUCAAGACACUACUUCAUACUCAGUGAUUCUUGGUCAACCUUAUAUUACAAUUGUGAGGAUGGAGACCAAAGUUUUGGAUGAUGGAUCAGCAGGUGCCCGUAUUAGAAGUCAAGAUAAAAAAAAGGCAAUGCAAUUUCUAACAAUACCUGCAAACCAUGAGCGCAAUCGGGAUUAUUUAUGAAGUGAUUUAUUAUCAAGGAUCAGUGAAGAAUUUACAGAUUUUUGCAAGGUAUCACUAUAGAGCAGGAAUAUAGUGGUACAUCUAAGAAAGUAUUCUCGCAUGGAGAGAAUAAUAUCUUUUAUACAGGGCAUUUGUGAAGAUAUUAGAGAAGACAUAUAUUUCUUCAAAAAUGAAGAAAUAAAAGACGUGGAUAAAUAUAUAUAUAUAUAUAUAUAUAUAUAUAUAUAUUGGGAAGGUGAUAUGAUGUCAACUACAAAUUUUUUUCUUUUUGGUGCAUACCAGAGAAUGUACAGGUUUAGAGGGGAUGGAUGUCGUGUUGUGGUUUGGCAACUAUAUCAAAAUAAUGUAAUUAUGUACUUAAUAUAAAAUUUAUUAAGUAACAUGAUGAGAGCCAUGUUAGAAGAUUUUAGUUGGUUGUAGAAUAUAAUUUGAUUAUUACUUUGAGAAGAGGUUGUUUAAAAAGAUUACUAUAGAAUUUGUAUAACUUUAAUUUUCUUUUGAUAGUAAAUUUUAAGAUUGGUUUUGGUUGAUAAUAACUUCUAAAUACUUAGAGUCACCUUUGUUAGACAUUGGUGACCUUUGAAAACUUAUUUUGGUUCUUUUAUUUGGUGUUUAGAGCAUAAAUUAUAUAAAUCUUAUAAAAAAAAGGAUUGAAGAAGGAUUUUGGUAGCAAAGGAAGUAACUAGGGCAUCAAUACAGAUGAAUGGAGAUGAAUAAUGAAAAUCACCAUUCCUAUUGAUCAAAAAUCAUGACCAAUAGGCUUUGAGGAGGCUACCUAAGGCCAUAUUAGGGAUUAGGAUUAGUUUUUCGAAGCCAUUCGAGUUUUGAAGGCUAGGAUCAGAAGUUUUAGGUUUUUGGCUAUGAUUUUGGUGCAAGUUUUGUAUAGUUUGGAGUUCAUAUGAAGGAGAUACAAGCACUCAAAGUUAAGGUGUUGAUUUGGGAGCUACUGUCACUCUUUUUGGCAUAACGCAUGCGUACGGAUAGCAAUUGAGGAUCGGCAACUAUGACUAAAGAGAGCACUUUUGUGGCUACACUUUUCAUGUAUUGCUUAUUGGAUUCCAAGUUGAAGUGAAGGAAUUAUUGGAUUUUGAAGUCAGUACAUGCAAUCUAAGGGUAGUAAGUAGUCCGAUUUGCUAGUGGUUGUCUCUUGAGAUAUAUCUUGAGCAAUUUGACAAGAUUUUUGCUCAAAUUUUCAAAGAAUGUGUAAUUGUAUGUUAAUAAACUUUGUACAUAAGUAUUAUGAUAUUUGAGUAUUGGGUUCUUGAGAUAUUAAGAAAAUAGUAUUCGGAUGCUUGUAAAUUAGGGUUUAGAGCAUCUGCUAGAGUUUCUAAGAUGCCAAAAGAUUGGGAGUGAAUUUGCAAUUGGUUUCUUUUGUGAUAAAAGUUAAAGGUGAAUUCUACUGAUCUUAUAAAUUUGAAACAAAUUGAAUGAUUAGAUCAAGAGUUAUGAUUUUAUAAAUUUUGGGAUAAGAAAACCUUCGCAUGAAAAAUAUGUUUUGAAGGGGUUUUGUUAUAUUUUGAGUUUUAUGAAAAAUAAAGGAGUUUUGGUAGGCUAAGAUAAGAUUCAUAUAAAGGUUUAAGCUACACUCUCUAGAGCUAUAUAUCCAGUGUAUUCUCAGAUAGUAAAUCAUGCCAUACGAUAAUACGUCUGUGUGUAGGAAUUGCAAGCAGAUCAGGCAUACUUAUCAGCAAUGUAAUACUCCAUCCAAUUUUAAUAAAUGGAAUCAGUAGAUCCAAAGCCAAGGAAAAAUUUAGGAGAUAAAUCAAGGUCUUUAAGAUUCUCUGAUAAAUCAGAUUGAAUGAGUCCAAGCUGUUCUUGCUAGAAGUCCGCAAAAGAAAAAAAGACUAAUUCAAUAUUCGAGUGAAUCUGAUGUAAAAGGCCAAUUUGAUCUAAUUACAAGGACAUCCAAUCCCAGUCCUGGUAUGGGCCUCUUACUUAAUAUGAGACUUAAUUUGGUUGGGCAAUCGAAUGAGGUCCCGAAUAUAGAGGCUUCGGUUCCAUUUCAUGUUGUUUUAUUUUCUAUGCCAUUUCGGGAAAAAUGUCCUUUCCGUAGAAAGAUCUUCUUAGAGAUAGGAAUUUUGAGGAAGCAUUGUCGGUUGCUCUAAUUCGAAGUCUAGGACGGGAGAAAAUAUGACCACAUGGAGUUAAAUGGAGAAGAGGAUAAGGAAAGGGGCAUUCGGGAGAUCGAGAUUUUGGAGGUCGAAGAAAUGGCUUUAAGCUCCUCCGAAAGGUAUAAAAUUGGGUUCAUAGGAUUUGGGAGAACUUUGGCAAUCGUUGCUGAAAGUUAGUAUUUGUAUUGGUGAUUUGGGUUUUUUUUUGCAAUAAAUUUAAGGCUGAUAUUCUUGACUAUUUUGUGAAAUUGGAGAAACUUUUGAGGUUGAAAUUUAUAGGUGUCUAGAGGGUUGAGUAUGCCGAGUGCGUGCAAAAGUUUGUGUUAAUCUGACAUAAUAGAUAGAAGUUAUUUGACCAUUAGCAUAAAGAGGUAUCAGAAGUUAGCAGAUUGGAGUUUUUUAGGAUUUUUGUAAUAUCUGGAGAUCUAUCGACUGGAAUUAGGUGACUUUUGGUAUGGUAAGUCGAGGACUUUUAGACGGCGGUCAAGAUACAUCAAUGUGGAUUUACGACAUUUUUUUGUAAUUUAUAUUUAGAUUGGAUUGAAACUUCUUGAAUAUUUAGAAGGCUUGUAAAGACACUAGUGGUAGAAGUUUACAACAAUCAAAGAGUGAGAUUGGGAAUAACAGCUUGUCGAAGCUCGUUGUCUAGGAUUAGAGUUUAAAAAAUAAAAAUAAAAAUAAAAAUAAAUAAAAAAAUAAAAAAUAAAAUAAAAUAAAAUAAAACUAAUAAAUAAUAAAAAAAUUAUACUUAUAAUAUCUUAAAGUUAUUAAAAAUAGUAUUUCUAAGUAUUUUGUAAUAGAAUUAAGCUUUUAUAUUGAAAUCCGAAAUAGUUUGUAUUUAGAUGGUUGAAAUCCACUAGCCUACUCGGAUACUUACAAAACAAUAUUUUAUCUUCUACACCCAGACGCUCGGUGCAUUCUCAAGUAAGAUAGUACGUAAUAUGAUAUAAGUGGUGAACCCAAUGUGAAAGCUUGAAGUGGAAGGUAUUGGAUUUUGUUUAUUUUUAUUUUAUUUUAUGGAGAAUGAGAAUAAAAAUUUUGAAGGAUCUUUGGGAGGAGCUUCUGGUGGAGUUUCUUCUAAAGGACUGGAUAUAUAUAUGGAUCCAUCCAUUGCUAGUAUAUUUCAAGGCUUAUCAUUAUCUAUACAGUAACAACAAAGCAAUGAUUGCAAAGAAGCUUUAACAACCAAAGCUUUGCAAGCAGUGGUCAAUAAAAUUGACUAGUUGGAUGGAAGGGAUAUUUCAAAGUAUUUAAGAUGUUAUGUUUGGAAAAUAGAAUUAAAUUGAUUUUCUGAAAAGAAGAUGGUUGAAUUAUUUGGACUAGCCACAAUACCAAAGAUAAGAAAGCAUAUUACCUCAAUUAUAGAGCAUUAUAGAAAUUCAUGGGAGAUUUUUUUACAUGCAUUAAAAGACAAAUAUUUCUUGGAGGACAGUGAUCAUGUUACUAAGAAACUAUUUCUAGAAUGGAUUGAGUGGCCUAAUAAGAAUUUCAAGCAACAGAGCUACUAAAGAAAUUUGAGAGGUAGUAUUCUCAAUUAUCGAAGGUAGAAAAAUUGACAUUAGAGUCGAACAAGGUUGAAUUAUUUCUUCAAGCUGCUGAUAGAAAAUUACAACGAAAAUUGGAAUUGCUUCUUGAAAACAAAGAAGAAGAUGAAGGAUUGACAACAAAGUGGAAAAAUAUUAAAAAUGCGAUGGAUUUGCUUGCAAAAAGACAAAAGAAGAAAGAUAGGAGUAAUAUUCCAAAAGCAGUACAAGCACCUAAAAUUUCAAUACAUACAACACGACCAAUAUUGUCUACUAUUCAACCUUCAACAUCUUUAUCGAAGAAAGGAGAGAUGGAGAUUGAAGAAAUUAUAUGUAGAAUAUGAGAUCUUCAAAUCAAAUUAGUAAGACUUGAAGAAAAUACUUCUGUAAAUAAUUUUAAGAAUGUUUCAAAACAAGGGUAUGUACAAAGAUAUAUCUGGUAUGAUGAUAUUUCACAUACUAGGAAGGAUUGCAAUAAAUUUAAUAAUAUGAUACAGUAAGGAGUUAUUUGCUAGAAAGAUGGAAAGAUUGCAUUAAAGGAUAUAGAGGAUCUCCUUCAAACUAAUUUUGGCAAAAGAGGUAUGAGAGCAUUGAUUCAAGAUUACUUAAUAGAACAUGGAAUAGCAACACGAGAGAGUACAAGUUAUGGUACUGGAGUAGAUGAUGACUUUGGUGGAAGUAUAGAAACUAGUGAAUUUUGGGCUUCUACCAUUUCAACAAUGUAAAAAGAAAAAAUACCUCGGGAAGCAUUAUUGAGGACUACAGCUAUAAUAUGAGGUAUAAUAGGUUGGGAAGAUCCUGUUGAGUCUCUUUUAAUUCAUGCAUAUAUUGCUAAGAGCCAACAUGAAGCCUUGAUGGAAGAAAAGAGAUGAGAAAAUUUUGAUGAUACAAAAAAAGGAAAUUCUUCUAAGAGGCAAACUCGAGUAAAUGAGGCUCGUGAGGCGAUUUCACAAGAAUUGCCUAUAAAGGAUACUUCAGCAUCAUUGGAAGAAAAAACAAAGGAGACAAAAGAUAAGGAUAAAUCAAUUGCUUAUAAGCUACUUUCUGAUAUUGAAGCGGCAACAAAUUUAAAAGGGGUGCUGAAAGAACAUAUAUUAAAUGCUAAGGUAGAAUUCACAUUAAAAGAGAUUUUAGAAAUUAUAAAGAAGGAAUUUCAUGAUGUUAUCAUUGGUAGCAUUAAGCGAAAGAGGCAAUUAAUAGAUGAAGUUGGAAUGAGUCAUGCUAUUGAUGCAGGAUUAUAUAAAAAUGAAGAAGAGGUUGAUAAUGGUUACAAGCAAUCAAUAAAUGAAAAGAAUAGAUAUAAUCAACGAGUACAUUUUGAAGAUUAUAGUGAUAAGGAAAUAGAAGCUUCAAGCCAUUAUACUCGAAAACAUUGGGCAAGGGCAACUAUUGAAGUAUUGGUGAAAGUAGGAGAUAUAGAAGAACCAAUUGUUGCUUUAGUUGACCAUGGUUCUGAAAUAAAUCUUAUGUCUAAGGAUCUUUAUAAGAAGCAAAAAUUACCAAUUGAUAUCAAAUAUGGAUAGGCAAUACAAGUAGCUAAUAAUUCAUGAAUUGAAUUAUAUAGAGCUUGUCCAGAUGAAAAAAUUCAGAUUGAAGAUGUUGCGAUAGAAUAACAUUUUUUUGUUCAAGAUACAAUGUCUUAUCCAUUGAUUUUAGCACAACCUUAUAUUAUGGCAACACGAAUGAAAACAAAAGUACUUGACGAUGGUUCUGCUUAUGCAAGGGUAUAUAGUGAAGAUUGAAAGAAAGUUGUAUAAUUUCCGACAGUACCUCCUAAUCAUAAAUGGAAUCAAGAUAAGUUGAGGGAGAAACCAUUGCCAAGGAUUGUUGAAGGAUUUAAGGAUUUUGGAGAAGUACCACUAUAAAGCGGGAUUAUGGAGGUACAAAAGAGGAGGUACUCUCGCGAGAUGAAGAUACCUUUUGAUGUGAGUUUUAUUGAUAUUUUUGAAAAUAGAAAUAUUAUGUAUAAGAAAGUUGAUGAUUUUAAAAGAAAAAAAAAAAAUAUUAUAUAGUAUUGAAAAGAAAUUACGAAAAUUAGAGACAUUAGAAGAUGAUGAGAAGAUUUUAAGUGUUUAUGAAGAAAAUGGAUUCGAGGAUUCUUCAGAAUUAAUUAUAUCUAUUGGGUUAGGGAAUAAUGGUAAGAUUGUAAAAAUUCAUUUGAGGGAGGUUUAUUCUAUACUUGAGUCUUUUCAAGCACUAGAAGUUAUUAUAGAGACAAAAUAUAAAAUAGUAGAUAAAAAGAUAAAACCUAUUGCCAGACCUUUACUAGAAGAUUUUAAGGAACAAAUAGAAUAAGCAUAAAAAAAAGACAGUUUAAGAGAUCUAAAGAAGAUUAGACAUCAGUUUACAAAAGAGACUUUUGAAGAAUUGAAGAUUGGAUGUAAUGGUUCCUUAUUUCUAAUAGAUUUGAAUAUUUUAAAAAAAUUCUUGCAAAACGAGGUAAAUCAUUUGCCUUUGGGUCUCGUGAAAUAAGAUGUAUAGAUCUUAAUGUUGUUGCUUCUAUGGUUAUCUUAACAGUACUUCAUGUGCCUUGGAACUUAAGGCCAAUUCUCGUACCGAAGACACAUUUAUCUAAAUUUGUGAAAUUAUUAAAAUAAAAGAUGCGAAUGAAAAUUUUGGAGCCUUCUUUUGUUCCAUAUUCUAGUCGUUGAUUUAUGGUGCCUAAGAAAAAAGGAUCCUUACGUUUUAUUCAAGAUAUGCCACCAAUGAAUGUAGUAACUAUAAGAAAUGUAAAUAUAGGACCUUUAGUAGACAAGUUUGUAGAAGAGUUUGGAGGAAGGGCAAUUUAUUCAAUAGGUGAUUUAUAUUCGUGUUAUGAUCAAUUUCAACUUACGCAUAGGAGUAGAGAUCUAACAACAAUAAGAAUGCCACUUGGAUUACUUAAAAUAUGUACUCUCCUUCAAGGUACUACUAACUCAGUUGCACAUAUGAUGAAUGAGAUGAACAAGGUAUUAAGAGACUUCAUUCUUGAAAAAACUAUGCCCUUUUUAGAUGAUUUUCCUAUCAAAGGAUGUAAAGAAGGAAAAAAAGAUGAAACUUUAGAUGAGAGGGGAUGUCACAAAUAUGUUGUUGAUCAUACACAAGAUUGUGAAAAGAUUUUAACUCGACUUGAAGAUGUUCAUCUUACACUUUCAGGAGCAAAAUCUAUAUUUGGAAUACAGAAAGUUCUUAUUGUUGGAUAUUUGUAUAGAUUCUAUGGGAGAAAGCCAGAUAAAAGCAAAGUUAAUGCAAUUGGAAGGAUGAAGGAUUCAUGUGUCUCUUUAACAGAAGUACGUAGGUUUUUAGGAGCUUGUAUAUUUUAUCGUAUAUGGAUUCUUCAUUAUGCUCAUGUAGGAGAUCUAUUGUAUGAAUUAUUACAUAAGACUUAUCAAUUUAAAUGGGAAAGAAAGCAUACAGAAGCAAUAUAGAAGCUAAAGAUGUUAUUGAUGACACCUCCAAUUUUAAGAAAAAUUGAUUAUAACUGUAAUAGACAAGUAAUUCUUACUAUGGAUACUAGUCCUAUUGCUAUUGGAUGGACUGUGGAUCAAAAUGAUUUAAGUGGAAAUAGAUUUGCACUUCGAUUUAGAGCUAAAGUUUUAAGUACUCGUCAAUGUAUAUAUUUGCAAGUCAAAAGAGAACUUUGGAAAGUUAUUUCGGCUAUGAAAGUUGAAAGGGAUUAUUUGAUUGGUACAAUAGUAGUAAUUGAAAUGGAUUGCUUGCCAUUGCUUGAAAUGUUUACUAAUUGUUCAACGCCAGAUAUUGCAAUGUUAAGAUGGAUUUCUUAUAUUAAGUCAUUAAAUCUGGAAUUUAAGCAUGUUGCUAGAAAGGACAAUUUAGUAGCAGACAUACUAUCUCGAACAAGAUAUGAAAGAGAAGAUGAAAUGGUUGAAGACAUUGAUGGUGUUGGGUCAAAAUUCUAUUCAGUAUCAAAUCUUAACAAAGAAGACAAGCUAUUUCUUGAAUAAAAUUAUGAACAAGAAUUAUUGGAUAUUGGUCAUUACUUGAAUACCUUGACUAAGCAAGUAAAAUUUGGUCUACAGAAAAAUUUAAACAAAUAAGAAAAAAAGUAUAUGGAUUUUUGCUUCAAAAAGGAUUCUUAUGGAAGAGACUAAAGAAAAGAAUUGGAAUGCCACUAAGAGUGAUAGGCAAUAAAGAAGAGAAAAAAAAAUUAUUAAAGGGGUUUCAUGAUAGUUUAUGGGCGAGAUAUAGAGGAAUUUGGGCUACUUUUGCUAAACUUAAGGAACAAUAUUGGUCAAGUAAUAUGUAUCGAGAUGUGCUCUUAUUUGUAGAAUCAUGUGAAAUUUGUCAAGCGUAUUCUAAUAUACGACAUUAAGAUGGUCUUCAUCUUACAUAUCUUCUAGCUAUUCAUUUUAAAUGGAUUGUUGAUUUGGUUAUUAUACCAAUCGGGUUAUGGCAAAUGAGAUAUUUGAUCUUAGCUCGUGAAGAUUUAUCAAAUCAAAUAGAAAGAAGAGCAUUGAGAACAAAAACUAUGGAAGGAAUUUGUAGAUUUUUGCUUGAAGAUGUUACUUACCACUAUAGAUGUGUAGGAAAAAUCACUGCAAAUCGUGGAGAAAUAAAUGUACAAGAAGCUCAUGAAUUCUUUGAAAGAUAUAAAAUUAAACUAUCACUCACUACUUCUUAUAAUCCUGAAGGAAAUACAAAAAGUGAAUGUGGUCACCUACCAAUUGUGAAAGCAUUAGUUAAAGCUUAUAAUGGAAAGGUUAGAGAAUGGCCACGACUUUUGUCACUUGUAUUAUGGACUGAUUAAACAACUUAUAGCUCAAUAACAGGAUAUAUGCCUAUUGCGCUUAUGAUAGGCCAAAAACCAAUUAUGCCAAUUGAAGAAAAAGUACCUACUUGAAGUGUGCUACCAUGAGAAGAUGGAUUGACAAGAGAAGAACUUCUAGCUAUGAGAAUUCAAAAAUUAGAGCAAAGAUGAGAAGAUGUGCAAAUAGCAUUAGAAAGGUUAAAAAGAGCGAGGUUACAAAAUAAGACAUGAUUUGAUAAGAAGCAUCGAUUGAGGCCUAAAGCAAUUGAAGAAGGUGAUUGAGUUUUGGUCUAUCAUAGUAGCUUGGACAAUCAACAUAGUGCUUUAAGGAAGUUUUUUAAACGAUGGUUUGGACCAUAUGUGGUAAUAAUUCUUCAUGAUAAUGGAACUUACUCAUUGCGGGAGUUAGAUGGAACAAGGUUAAAAAUACCAAUUACAAAGAAGCGAAUAAAAAUAUUUAAACAAAGAUAUACAAAAAUAAAUUUAAAAGACCUUGGUGAAGAUAUAGAUUUUUCUCAACAGGAAGAUGAAUUUGACAUGGAUAGCAAUAAUGAUGAAGAGGAUUUGGACGAAGACUUGGAGAACGUACUAUGAAUCAAACAACAACUAGAUUAUUUGGUGCAUAUCAGAGGAUGCAUAGGUUCAAAGAGGGUGGAUGUCGUGUUGUAACAUGACUAUAUGGUAAAAAUAUAAAUAAAAAAGAUAUUAUUAAUAUUUAGUCAUCUUGGAUGUUAGAAAUAGUGGCUAAUUCCAGUGCCAAUAUUUAGGAUCAAUUAAUGUCACCCCAUCGACGUCAUCAAAUCAAGUACCUUCCAUACCAAGAAGAUAACCAAGAUCAUUUUCUAAUCCUACAUGGAACAAGCCUAGUAGGUAUAUACCAGUGGAAACAUCUAAUAUACAUGAUAGGGGUGCAAGAAGACCACUUCGUUGUUUUCAUUGCAGACAGGUUGGUCAUUAUGCCAAUGAAUGUUCCAAUCCCAAAACUAGUGAUGAUUACGCAUCAGUGUGUAGGAAUUGCGAGCAUACAAGACAUACUUAUCAACAAUGUAAUAUUUCAUCCAAUUUCAAUAAACGGGAUCAACAGAUCCAAAGUCAAGGAAAAAUUGAGGAGAUAAAUUAAGGUCUUUAAGAUUCUCUGAUAAAUCAGGUGGAAUGAAUCCGAGCCAUUCUUACCAAGAGUUGGCAAAAGGAGAAAGGACCAAUUCAAUAUUUGGAUGAGUUUGAUGUGAAGGGCCAAUUUGACCUAAUUAUGAAGACAUUCAAUUUCGGUCCUGAUAUGGAUCUCUUACCUAGUAUGAGACCUGACUUGGUUGGGCAAUCCAAUGAGGUCCUGAAUACGGAGGCUUCAGUUUCAUUUCAAGCUGUUCCAUUUUCUAUGCCGUUUUGGAAAAAACGUCCUUUUCUUGGAAAGAUCCUCUUAGAGAUAGGAAUUCUGGGGAAGCGCCAUCGGUUGUUCCAAUUCGGAAUCUAGGACGGAAGAAAAUGGGACCACACAGAGUUAAAAGGGAAGAGAGGAUAAGAAAAGGGGCAUUCAAGAGAUUGGGAUUUUGGGGGUCAGAGAACUGGCUUCAAGCUCCUCCAAAAGGUAUAGAAUUGGGUUCAUAGGAUUUGGGAGAACUUUGGCAAUCGUUGCUGAAAGUCAGUGUUUGUAUUGGUUAUUUGGCGUGGUAAGUCGAGGACUUCUAGGCGGCGGUCAAGAUACAUCAGUGUGGAUUUACAAUGUUUUCUUGCAAUCUGUAAGUUAGAUUGGAUUGAAACUUCUUGAGCAUUUAGAAGGCUUGCAAAGACACUAGUGGUAGAAGUUUACAACAAUCGGAGGAUCAAAUUGAGAAUUACAGCUUGCCGAAGCUUGUUGUCUAGGAUUAAGAUUUAAAAAAUAAAAAUAAAAAUAAAAAAAUAAAAAAAAAUAAAACUAAAAAAUAACAAAAGACUUGUACUUAUUAUAUCUUGAAGUUAUUAAAAAUAGUAUUUCUAAGCAUUUUGUAAUGGAAUUAAGCUUUUAUAUUGAAAUGCAAAAUAGUUUAUAUUUGGAUGGUUAAAAUCCACUAACCUAUCCUGAUAUUUAUAAAAUAUUAUUUUAUCUUCUACACCCAGACGUCCGGUGCAUUCUCAAGCAAGAUAGCACUUAAUACAAAACUGUAUAAUUAGAAAUGGGAACAGAUGAUAAACUUCAUCUAGUAGCUUUUUAUUCCAAAAAAAUUUUAGCAGCCAAGAUUAACUAUGAAAUCCACAACAAAGCUUCUUGCAUUCAUGGAUUCAUUUCAAGAAUGGCAUCAUCAUGUAGAAGGCACUUUUAAUCUAAUCACCAUAUAUACAGACCACAAGAAUCGCAAAUGUUUUGAAUUGUCGCCAAACUCAUUGAAGCAUGUCUUUAUCAAGAUUUGAUUUUAAGUUCACGUAUCAAUCCGAAAAAUAAUAAGAUUUGUCAAAUGCCUUUUUUAGAUAUUUUUAUCUUAUAUCAAAUGAAAGAGAUGUAUCUUUUGAUCAACAAAGAAUGAUUUUUUUGAAGCCAAAGCAUUUUCAUCUUUGAGUAAUGAAAUCAACAUUGAUUAUUAAUUCAAUCCUUGUAAAACAAAUCCUAUCAAGUAUGUUUUUUGAUCUUUUUAUUUAUAGUAUCAAGAAUCCUCUUCUAAGUCAUAAAAUACUUUUAAAUUUGAGUUCAAAAACAACCUACUCUAUUUUGAAGGUUCUACAAGCACGUCAUGACUUUCCUACAAUAAAAUAUUUUGGAUACAACGAGACAUUAGAGCUUAUAUCUAGAGAUUUAUGGUGGCUAUAAAUGUAAAUAGAUUUGAAAGACUUUGUUCACUUAUGUGACAUUUGUUUAAGAUCAAAAACUCCCGAUCAUUGAUAUUACAAACUUCUUCAACUAUUAUCCAUUCUAAAACAAUUAUAGUCUAUUGUUUCUAUGGAUUUCAUCAUGGUGUCAUAUGGUGUGAUUUGCUAUUUGGGAAUAUACUGGGUAUCUAGCUAUACAGAAUGUAACUUAAACCUUUAUAUGAAUCUUGUCUUAGUCUCCCAAAACUCCUUUAUUUUCCUUUAUUUUGCAUAAAACUCAAAAUAUAACAAAACUCCUUCAAAACAUAUUUCUCUCGUGAAGGAUUUUCUUGUCUUGAACUUUAGAAAAUCAUAACUCUUCAUCUAACUAUUCAGUUUGUCUUAAAUUUAAAAUAUAUGUAAAAUUCACCAUUAAAUUUUAUCACAAAAAAAAACCAACUGCAAAUUCACUCUCAAUCUUUUGGUAUCUAAGAAAUCCUAGCAGAUGUUCUACAUCCUAAUUUAUAAGUACCUAAACACUAUUUUCUUAAUAUCUCAAGAAUUCAAUACUCAAAUAUUAUAAAACUUAUGCUUAAAGUUUAUUAAUAUAAAAUUACACAUUUUUUAAAAUUUUGAGCCAAAACCUUGUCAAAUUGCUUAAGAUAUAUCUCAAGAGACAACCACUAGCAAAUCAGGUUACUUACUACCCUUAGAUUGCAUGCACUGACUUCAAAAUCCAAUAAUUCCUUCACUUCAAUUUGGAAUCCAAUAAGUAGUAUAUAAAAAGUGUAGUUGCAAAAGUGUUCUCUUGAGUUGCAAUCGCCGAUCUUCAAUUGUUGUCUGUACCCAUGCGUUAUGCCAAAAAGAAUAACAGUAGCUCCUAAAUCAUCACCUUAACUUUGAGCGCUUGUAUCUCCUUCAUAUAAACUCCAAACCAUAUAGAACUUGUACCAAAAUCAUAGCCAAAAAUCUAAAUCUUUUGACCUUAGCCUUCAAAACUCAAAUGCCACAAAAAAAUAACUCUAAUCUCUAAUAUGGCCUCUGGCAGCCUCCUCAAAGCCUAUUGGUCAUGAUUUUUGAUCAAUAGGAAUGGAGAUUUUCAUUAUUCAUCUCCAUUCAUCUAUAUUGGUGCCCUAAUUACUCCUUUUGCUACCAAAAUCCUUCUUCAAUCUUUUUUCUUAUAAGAUUUACAUAAUUUAUGCUCUAAAUUCCAAAUAAAAGAACCAAAAGAAAUUUUGAAAGGUCACCAAUGUCUAACAAAGGUGACUCUAAAUAUUUAGAAGUUACUAUCAACCAAAACCAAUCUUAAAAGCCACUAUUAAAAAGAAAUUAAAAUUAUAUAAAUUCUAUAGUAAUUUUUUUAAACAACCUCUUUUCAAGGUAAUAAUCAAAUUAUAUUCUACAACCAAUUAAAAUCUACUAAUAUAGCUCUCACCAUAUUACUUAGUAAAUUAUAUAUUAAGUAUAUAAUUAUAUUAUUUUUAUAUAAUAGACGAACCACAACACGACAACAAAUCUUCCAAUCUAAGGUUCUUUUGAUUCUAUAUUUGUAAUAGUAGAUCGUUUUAUCAAGAAGGCAUAUUUUGUACUAUAUACUAAAUCUAUCAUAAGUGAAGAAAUAUCUGCACUCUUUUUUGACAACAUCUAUUGCUAUCAUGGAUUAGCGAAGGAUAUCAUAUCAGAUAAGGGAACUCAAUUUGUAUCAAGAUUUUGGCGGACUCUUUUUAAGAUUCUAAAAGUGGAUAUAAAACUAUAUUUGGCAUUCCAACUUAAAAUUGAUGGACAAACAAAUAUAUUAAUCAAGUUUUGGAGCAGUAUUUAAGAUGUACCAUCAAUUAUCAACAAGAUGAUUGGACAACUCUUUUGCCAUUAGCAGCAUUUGUUUAUAAUAACACAAUACAUUCUUCUACAAAAUAAACACCUUUAUUUGCCUAUUGUGGUUAUCAUCUACGACUUGAUACUUUUGACUUUUCAAAAGCUGAUAAUCUUAUGAUGGAAGAUUUGGCAAAUGAUUUAUCAAAGCUACAUAUAAUAAUAAAGGCAUAAUUAAAAGAAGCUCAAGAACAAUAAAAGAUCAAUGCGGAUGUCUAUUGAAAGAAAUAACUACCAUUUCAUAUGGAUGACAAAGUAUGGUUACUUCAUCGCAAUAUCAUGUCUACUCGUCCUUGUGACAAAUAAGACUAUCAUAGGCUCUGACCAUUUUGUAUUUUUACACAAAUCAAUCUAGUUUCAUAUCAUUCACACUUAUUAAAAUCAAUGAAAAUCCAUCUAGUAUUCUACAUAUCUCUUCUUGCACCAUAGAAGUUAGUAGACAUAACAAGACAAAAACAAGUUCUACCUCCUCAUAUAGAAGUAGACAACAAUGAAGAAUUUGAAGUAGAAGAAGUCUUAGACUUAAGGCGAUGCCAAAAUAAGUUAGAAUAUGUUGUUUAUUAUUGUAGAUACAAUAUUAGUGAACAUACAUAGUAACCAACAAAGAAUCUUGUAAAUACAAUAAAGAAGGUGGAGGCUUUUCAUCAAUGACAUCCAUCAAAAUCAAACUGAAGACCUUUUGUAUAAAAGAAAUAAGAUUUGUGCAAGAUAACAUUCUACUUUCAAUCUUUUUUUAUAAUUUCUUUGUAUUUAUGAUGCUAAAGAAAUGAAGAAUUAACAACUAGCAAAUUUGACUGAAGAACCUUUAUUUACUAAAUUACAAGAUGAAACAUUAUAAUUAUCAUAACCUUUAAGACAAUCCAAUUGAGAUGAAGAUCCUCAAGAAUAAGAUGUUUUUUUUAAAUAGAUGACAAUAUACAAUGCAUUUUUGGUAUCACAUCUUUGGAAGAGAUUUCCGAUGUUUGUUAAUUUUAUUAGAGAUAGGAAUAAUUCUUGAUGGUGUUUUAAAUAUUUUAUUUAAAAGAAGUUAUGAAGGCCUCAUUAAUGAUCAAAUAAUAGGAUGGGCUUCUUGCCCUUGUAUGAGAUAUUAUCAAUGGUUGAAAGGCCCUAUCAACCAUCUUCAAAGAGAAUAAAGAUUUGAGUAUGUCCCCAAUAGAAUUUGUUGUACUAUAGAUUUUUUCAACAUAUGUUGAUUGCUCCAUAUGGAACUUAUUCCUAAAAAAGAGAGUAAUAUCAUAGAUAUAUACAUGUAAGCCUGUAAUUACCUGUAUAAAUAGGUAGAAGUAAAUAAAAGUAGAUAAAAAUAACUUAAUUCUAUAAUAUCUUCAAAGAAAGCUUUUUAGAAGCUUUAUAGAUAUUACUUUGACUUUAUAGGUAUUCAUUGUUGACUUUUAGGUUAAAAACUUGGUCAAAAAAUUAAUCAUAUGCCACACAUGUUUGUAGCUUGAAGAAGAAGUUAAUUAUGUGGUGAAUAUAUAGAAAAGCUUGUCUUGUAAGUCAAGGCAUGUGUCCUAUAAAGUCAAUACAUAUUAGAGGUCCUAUAGAACAUGGCCACGUAACCUCUAGUUAGAUAGUAUAUAUAGAGACAAGAGUGAAGCCUUCUUCACUCUUAUCAACUCCUUUCUUACUUCUACUUUACUUUUAAAAGUCUCAAGUUUUCUUGUCUUUUAGUAAUAAGCCAUUCCAGUUUCUUUUUAUUAUACAUGCUUCCUUAUUUUUAUUUUGUCAUUUUUUCUUUGACACAGAUUUCAUUCAUUUAUAUCUCAUCUUUUAGUUCAUGUCCUUCACAAUAGUAUAUAUAGAAGCUAGAAAGAAGCCUUCUUCACUCUUAUCAAUACCUUUUUAAUUCUUAGUCUUAUUUGAAGCCUUCUAGUCUUCUUGUUUUUUUCAAUAGCCAUUUUAGUUUAGUAUUAUAUCAUCAUUGAGUUAUUAUUUAGUCUUUUUGACUGACUCAAGAGUUUUUUGAUCUUUUAAUUAUUUAAGAUUCAUAUCCUUGAUACUAAUGAACAAUAUAAGAAAGAUUUUUAAGUAGUUAAUUUCUUUUUUUUCUUCAAAAUUUUUAGCCACUAUAUAGAUUUUUAAUUUUUUAGAUUUAUUCUUAAGAUUAGACCUUUCAUAUAGAUAGAUCUAAAAGUAAUCAAGUUUUAUUUUCAAAAAUAGAAUCUAUUUUUUAUCAAAUAGCAUCUUUUUAUUGUAAUUUUUAAAAAGCCUUUGAAUAUUAUUUAGACUCAAUUGCACAUGUUGUAUUGAAUAAUAUUUGGUAUUAGAUUAUCUUGUUUUGAUUGGAGUUCAAUAGAGCUCUAUGAAAGCAUCAAGUUGCUUAAGUUCAGUAUUACUAUUUGUGAUUAAGAAAUAAGAUAUGGAAUUGCUAGUGUUGGUUGAUAAUUUAGGUUAUUGGAUUCAUUAUGCAAGUAAUUCUUGUAGUUGUAUUGUUAUUUUAUUCUUUAUUGGAAUGAUAUAUAUUACAAAGAAUACUUCUAAGUUAUUAAAGAUUGUAGUAUGUAGUUAUAGUAAUUCAAAGUUAAUUUAUUUUUUGUCAAAGAUGAUAUUGUAGCUUAUGUGUAUCUAAUUUGUAAGCAAGUUGAAUACUUGCUAUGCUUAGUUUUUGUUGUUAUAGCCUAUGAAGUAACAUUGGAUAAUUUUUCUCUAUAGUUUAAAGUACUAUUCUUUUAGUAUAUAUAAUUGAGCUAUGAAUUCCAAAAUAAAGAUGUACUCUAUCAAAGUUUUUUAAUUCAAGUACUUGUACUCUAGUAUAAUUUUAUUUUUUGUCUUUGUUAGACUAAUGUGAACCAAGUAAUUGGCAUUGUUAAGUAAUUUUUUCUAAAGAAAGUAUUUGUACUUGUACAUAGCUACCAUGGAUUUAGCUUUUUUAAUAAUGGUUCUAUUGUACCAUUCAUUAACGCCAUUUUGUUGUAGAAUUCAAGCCAUAAUGAAUUUUCAUUGUAUUCUAUAGAUGAAUAGGUGGUUGAUGAAUGUGAUAGAGAGAUAUUCUAUCACAAUCUAUUCUAAAGCAACAAAUAUGAUUUUAGGUUUUAGUUUCUACUCAAGGUUAAAAUUAUCAAAAUUUUAGCAAUAUUUUUGUCUUAUGCCAAAUAAAAUAUAUCUAAUUUUUUUGAAGUAAUCAUUUGAGAAGGCCACAUAGUAUCUAGAAUCAUUUAGUAAUAAAUAUUUUAUUGAACUAAUUAAAUUAAAAUAGAUUAACUUAAGUACUUCAUUUUUUUGGUUUUUUUAUGGAUUUAAAAAGCUGUUUUAAUAUUAUCUUUUUAAAAAAUAAUUUAUAAAUAUGGAUUUUAGAAGCAAGAAUUGUAAGAGUCUUGUGAUUUUUUGUAUUUAUAACAAGUAUUGUAACUUUGUAUAAUAUAGAUGGCUAAAUCUCUUGUGCCAUGUAUUUAAGUCUUCUUUGGUAAAAAUAGUGUUGAUUAAAUCCAUAAGAUUGAUGUAGUUGUUAUUUUUGAAUAAGCUAGAAUUAAUUUUUAUAUUUUCUAUUGUCAAAAAAAUUAUAUUAUAUAAAUUUUAAGAGAUUAAGCAUUAUUUAUAUUUAAAUACUAUAAUAGGUCUAUCAUCAAUUAAUGAUCCUAUAAAAAUCAUAUUUUUCUAUAAUAAAAAUACAUAAAAAAUAUUAUAAACCUUUAUUAAUCUCAAAUUAAUUUUUAGACUAGAAGAUCCAAUAAUAUCAAUUUUAUGAAUCUUUAUGUUUAUGGUCUUUAUGUUUCUAUUUUGAAGGUUGUAUAUCUAUCAAUUCUAGUUAAGUUAUUUUUUGUAAACUGCUUUGAAGCUCUUGAAUCCAUGUAUCAAUAAUGUAUCAUGGAUAUACAUAUUUAUUUUAAUAAUUAUUUAUAUAAUUAGAUAGAAGUAAAUAAAUAUAAAUUUAUAUCAUAAUAUCUUCGAGAAAAGCGUCAUAGAUGAAAUUUUGACUUUAUACAUGUUUAUAGUUGAUUGAUAGGUUAAAAACUUGAUAAAUAAGCUAACCAUGUUCUACAUGUCUUAGUAACUUAUAGAACAAGAUAGCUAUGUGGCAUAUAUAUAGAUAACUUGUCUUGUAAGUUAAGAUAUGUAUAUAGUAAAGUCAAUACAUGUUGGAAGUCAUAAAGAAGAUUGUCAUAUAGUUUCUAGUUAGAGAGUAUAUAUGGAGGCAAAAAUGAAGCCUUUUUUACUCUUGUAAAUGCCUAUUUAGUCUUUAGUCUUAUUUCAAGACCUUUUAAUCUUCUUGUCUUUAGCAAUAGUCAUUUCAAUUUAAUACUAUAUCAUCUUUGAGUAAUUUUUUAGUCCUUUUAAAUGAUACAAGAAUAUAUUAAAGAUUUCUUUCUUUGAGAUUGAUGUCUUUGGUAAUUUGACAAGACUAUUAAUUCAUUAUUCUUGUAUUAUUUUAAAAUUUAGUAGAUUAUUCUACUUCUAUUAUUUUAUUUUGAAGGUUAUAAAUUAUCUACCUUUAAACAUUUUUUUUUUUUUUCUAAUAUAAAUAUUUUUCUUAAAAAAAUCAGAUUAUCCUUCUUUGAAGAAAUUUUCAUUUGAUAUUAGAGGUUACAAAUUACCUUCCUAUAAUUUGACUUGUGGAUUUAUUAAGUUAUUUGAAAUAGAAGAAAAAAUCAUGGAUUCUAUAUUGAAGGAAGUAAGUAGAUUGACCUUAUAACCACAUUCAAGAAUUUUUGCUUCUACAAGUACAAUAGAGACAAAGAUUAAUAUAUCUAAGAAGUUUGAUAGAACAAGAUCAAAAAUUUUAGAAUUUUUGCAAUAAAUCAAGCUCUAGCCAAGUUUACAUUUCUUUCAAUAUCUUGAUGGAUUCUAUCUAGAAAUAUUCUCUUUUGGUUUAUAUCUUUAAUGGAAUAGGAUUCAUGAUUCUUUUAUGAUUUGAAUUCAUCCUUAGAAGUUUUUGUGGCUAUAUUCAAAGAAAGUAAUUGAAAAAGAAUAACAAAAACUAAGCUCUUAUUUUUAAAACAAGGAUCAUGAUUAGCCAACAUAUAUGCUAUUGAAUUCCAAAACCUCUCUUGUGACAUGGAUUAGAAUGAAAAAGCUCUUAUCAAUCAAUUUUGAUAUGGAUAAAAAGAUAAUAUCAAAGAGUUAUUUUUAACAAAUACUAUUUGAUUAACUUCAAAAUUUUUACACACAUUCACAACUAGUAUAUCAACACACAACCCAAAAUUUCUAAUAUCCAAUUGGAUUAUCUUGCAUUUCUUUUAAUUGAUAAGUGUAAUUAAUUUCAUCUUUUUUAUGCUUCUUUCUUACUAAGAUAUUAAAAAAUAUGCAAAUUUUGAAUUGAUAUCAACGGUUUGAUUAUUAAUUAUUGAAGUUCUAUUUUGCUAUAGGAUUUGAUUUAUAAUUUAUCUAUGAUUUGAUUAAAAUUAGGGCUUAAGAUUAGGUCUAAGUUUUUAUUAAGAUUAGGAUUUUUUUAGAAUUUGAUUUAAAACUUGACUAACAGUUGAUUUAAAUUUUUCUAAGAUUUAUUUAGGAUUUAGAAUUUUAUUAAAAUUUUAUUAAGAUUUGAUCUAAUAUUUGAUUAAGAUUCAAUUACGAUUUUUAUUUUUAAUUUUUAAAAAUAUUCUUUAUUAUUUUUCUAAAGAUUUUUAUUUCUAGUAUUUAAAAAAAUAUUAUUGUUAUUUCUUUAAAGACUUGAUUUUGUAUUUCUUUAAGAUUUCUUGUCAUUUUUUUUGAAAUUAAUUUAAUACUCUUUUGUAUUUCUUUUAUAACUUCUUCUAAAUUUAUUUUGAAUUAAUCAAAGUUUGAUUAAGAUUAUUAAAUUUUUUUUUAAGUUUAUUUAAGAUUCUAUUAGACUUAAUAGAAUUGGUGUUGCAUUUCUACUUACCUUCCACAACUAAGUGCCUAAUGCAUUCUCAAGAAAGAACACAUGUAAUACAACAAUGAUAUGUUUUAAAUCUUUUUUGAAGCAAGAAAAGAUUCAAUGUCAUCAAGAGGAUUUGUGCUUAUAUUAUAGAAAAGUAAAACUUAUUGUUCAAUAUUAUCCAAAGAAAUAAUGCAAUCACAAAAUGAAGAGCUUGGUUGACAAAAUAGAUGAUGUAUUAAAAAAUAAAUUUCUCUACCUACAAUAGAAACUACAUAAUUAGAAUCUUCUAUAAUUCCUAAUAAAGGUCCUAUUCUCUCUUCAAUUCCUUCACCUUAUUUUAUAAUAAAAGUUUAUUUAGGACCAAAAAUUCACAAAGUCUUAGCCUUAUUAGAUUCAAGAAUCUUAACAUGUUUUAUAGACAAAGAUUUUAUUAAAAAAAACAAGAGAUAUUGUUAGUCAAGAAAAUUAAAUCCAUACAUUUAAGAAUCAUAGAUGGUCAUUUGAUAACUUUUGGAGAUGUUACCCAUAGGACUAUUCUUUUAGAUGUAGUAAUUAAAGAUCAUAAUAGCAUAGUAAUAUUUAAUGUGAUAAGAUCUCCAUCAAAUUUAUUUAUUUUAGGAUUAUUUUGGUUAAAAAAAUAUAGUCCUCAAAUAAAUUAGAUUUUUCAUAAUCUAAAAUUUUCUUAUAAUUUGAUCCAAAAUUUUGUUAGUUAAGUAAAAAUACAUAAGCCUCGUACAUCCAAACCUUUAUUGGUAGGAAAAAAAAGCUUUCAUUAUUGCAAAAAAAGAAGGAUCUUCUUUUUUUCUAUAUGCUACAUGUAUUUUUGAUGAUGAAAAGAUAUCAAGUCAUAUUCUUAAUCAAUAUCAAGAUUUCAAGGAUGUUUUUUUUUAAAAAAAAAUAUAGAUAUUCUUUCAAAGCAUUGAUCCUAUAAUUACUCAAUUAAUUUGUAAGAAAGGGCUCAACUACCAUUUGGACCACCCUAUAAGUUAUUACAAAAUGAAUUGACUGUAAUAAAAGAAUACAUUGAGGAAAACUUAGAUAGGAACUUUGUAUGCUAUUUGAAAUCUUCAACAAGAGUCCUAUCUUAUUUGUAAAGAAAAAGAAUGGGUUAUUGUGGAUGUGCAUAGAUUGUCAAGAACUUAACAAAAUGACCAUGAAGAAUAUGUAUUGAAAUAAGACUAGAAUAUUUCUAAGAUCUAAGAUCCUUCUAAUCUAUAGUAAUAUAAAUUUUGUUACUAUAUAAGACAACGUAGAUCAAAAGAAAACUAAAUAGAUUUAAACAAAAUAGAACAUGAAAGGCAAAAUAAAGCAUAAGAGAAUAGAAUAGAAUUAAAUAAAAAAAUAUAAAACUAAACUUUACUACAAGAAAAGAAUCAAAGUCAUACCUGAUCAAAUACUUGAUCAAAUAGCUCUAAUUAGUCUUAUUUAAACUUUUUUCAACCAUCCUAAAAAAUUUUAGAAUAUUUUUAAUAAUAGGCUCUAUCUAAAUAAAUAUCUUAAGUCUUUUUUAGAAUAUUUCAUAGUAGAUUCUAUGUAAACCAUCAACUUAGUCUCAAUUGGUGGUAGUUAUUUGCAUAUUACUUCUCUUGUUUUUGUAUAAUAAGGAGGCAAUAUCGUGCCUCCUAUAAGAUCAUUAUAAGAUGUUGUAUAAACUCUUUUGUUGUGAGGUUGUUAUUAUCAAUAGAACAAUGAAAAGUUGCUAGCGUAAUUGGAUACUAACCAAUGUUAAUGAAGAAUGGUGAAUGAUUGAUACUUUUUUAAAUAUUAUUAUUGUAAGUAAAUUUUAAGAGUAUUAAAUAUUUAUCUUUUUUAUUAUGAUGAAUUACCAUAAAUGUCCAUAGCAUAUUCUUUAAAAUUUAAUUUAUAUGCUUUAUUUUUUUAUUUGUUUGAGGAUAAAAGGCCUUCGACAUGGCAAGUUGUAUGCCUAGUAGCUUAAACAAAGCCUGCCAAAAACUUCCUGUGAAGCAUAGAUCUUGAUUUGAAAUGAUAAUACAAGGUAAUUUAAGGUAACAAAAGUUAGUAUUGAAGAAGACUCGUAUAAAUACUAAACCAUUAAUAUCAGAGCAUAUCAUAGCCAAGUGAAGUUGCUUUGAGCGUUGAUCCUUAAAAGCAAUAACUGCAGUUGGAUUGUAAGGUAUCUAUAACAAACAUAUAAUGAAAUCCAUAGUCACUUACUUCCAAUGUAUUGCAGGUAGUAGAAUUGGCUGCAAUAGUCCAAAAGAUAUUAUAUUGUAUGUUUUUUUUAUAUUGGCAUGAUUCGCAAGAGAGUACAAAAGUUUAAACACCACGAUCCAAAUUUAUUCAAAUUCAUAUCCUUAAGUUUUGUUCUAGAGUCUUUUCACACCUUAGAUGUCUAGAUAUUGAAAUGUCAUAUCUUUCUUGAAGUAUGCACAUCCAAAAUAUUACAUUGUUAGGUACAUAGAUUUACUUCUUGAAAUAGAGCAAGCUAUCAUUGAGAUGGUAAUCUUCAUACUGUACAUUGUUCAUCUUUAGCCAAUUAAUAAUCAUCUUAAAAUAAGCAUUUCAAUGCAUAGCUUCUUUCCAUUUUGUUCUUAUAGUUAGAUUUAAAAUAAGACUAAUGUAGAAUAGAUAUUAGUUCAUUUUUGUAAGAUAUUAGUAAAAUAAACUAAUAAUCCAUAGAAUAGUCAGUUUAAGAGGACGGAUGGUUGAUUUAGUUAUUCAAAGCAGUUAAUUAUAAGAUUACGAUUAGGAUCUAGAAAUCAAUAGCAAUUAUAUAGGAGUUGUAGAAGUUUGUUGGGGGCCAGACUAUAAUAGUCAUGAGUCGGGGUUAAGCUUGGUACUUCCUCUUUGGUUUUUUUUUUUUUUUUUUUUUUUUUUUUUUUGUUGAAGAAUAAUGGAUAGUUUUUGAAUACUGAGAAGUGAGUCUGUGGAAUAAAUCAGAGAUUGAUUUAUGAGUUAUUGAUUAUGUAAUUGGAGUACUGAGUGAUUGAAUUAUAUGAAAAGUUAUUGGAAGAUUGAUUAUGGAUGGAAGAUUAUGAUUGUUGUUUAUUGAGAGUUGUGUUUGUGUGUUUUGACAGAGGAAGUCUGUGAUUACAGGAAUCCUAUGAAUUCAGAUUGGUUGGUAUGAAGUCUGUUAUUUCUUAUGUUGGAUGGAAUUUAUUGAGUUUUGAGCGGUCUUUUGAGAGUACAGGGUUGCACAUUGUGGUUAUUAGUUGAUGAAGGAGUAUUGUUACUGGGAGAAAGCAUUGUAGUAUUUCUUACUCUUUUAGUGGUUCGGAAUACAAUUAAUUAUGUGACCCUAACAAGUAAAACUCAUGUACUUAAUCUUUCCCUGUGUUCAAAUUUCUCUAUACAGGUUUAUUCUCGAAAGAAUUGUAAAAUAAGUAAAACGAUAAUCACAAUUAAUUAUAAUAGUAAUUUUUGCCUUAUCUUCUAAUUUAAGUUUUAAGUUAGAUCUGUAUGACUAAGUGUCUAAUAUGAUCUAUUGUCACCUUUACUUAUAUUUAAAUUCAAUGUCAAAAAACUAUAAUUUUUUUUUCAAUGAUAAUGUUGUGAUUUCAUAAUUUUUAGAUGCAAAUUGUAUAGUAAGGGCUGAUGGUCAAUCUAAACAAUCAUUCAUUUUUUUAAUAAAUAGUAUUGUCACACCUUUGUGGCAUAUAUAAUUAUUAAUUAUUCUCAAUCACAUGUAGAGUAAUUGAGCUUUAUCCUUUUAAGCUUGUGUAAUUCAUACACCAUAGAUUGAAAGCUCUUACCAAAGUUUUAUUGAAGGACCAUACUUAUAGCAAAGUCAGAAGCAUCAAUGUCAAAAGUACAAAGAAGGUUAGGAUCAUACAAUUGCAAUGUUAAAGUAGUAAUGAGCGUCUCCUUCAACUUAUCAAAGGCCCUUUUUUGCUCUAAUUUCUAUUCAAAUAUGGCAUCUUUUUCUAUUAGGCUUUUCAAUGAUGCAAUAAUAUAUACAAAUUCUAAAAUAAAAUGGUGAUAAUAUCUAACAAGGCCUAAGAAUGAGCAAAAUUCAAAAGCAUCCUUGGAGGUUGGUAAAUCUUCUACUACUUUCACCUUAUCUAUUCUUUGCAUAUGCCUUAGGAGGACACAAUAUGCUCCAAAAAAGUGACCUCUGGCUUCUAAAAUUUAUAUUUUGAUUACUUAUAAUAGAAGAAACUAUCUUAUAGCAAAUAUAGUAAUUUUCAUAAAUGUUGCUUAUGCUUGUUAAGAAUUUUAUUGUAGAAUAAAAAAUCAUUGAUGAAAAUAAUUACAUACUUGUCCAAAAGGUCCCAAAAUAAUUUGUUGAUGUAACUCAUAAAAGAGACUUAAGCAUUGGUGAGGCUAAAAGGUAAAACAAGCCAUUUAAAAUGUACAUAGUAUAUAAGAAAUACCAUCUUUUUAAUAUCCUCUUUUGUAAUAGGUAUCUGCUAAUAGCUACUCCAAAGAUCUUAUUUGCUAAAGAUGAUUGCACUUCAAAAUUGGUGAAGAAGAUCAAUCAGGCAUGAAAGUAGAUAUACAUCCUUGAUAGUUUGCUUAUUGAGCACUCAGUAGUCAAUGCAAAGCUAAAGUCUACCAUUUUUUUUGCAUAUAAAGAGUACAUGUAAUGUCUAUGAUGAUGUAUUUUUUUGAAUGAGGCCCUUCUUCAAGAGUUUAUCUAAUAUCUUUUGUAACUCUUCAAAUUCAUUUAGUAUUAAGUGAUAAAUUAGUCAACUUGUGAAUUUCGCCCUAUGUAAUAGUUUUAUUUAGAAAGAGGUACCUCAAUCAUGUAGUAUUCUAUUAAGUAAGCCAAUUAAAAAGAUGUUCGAAUAUUUACAUAUUAAUUGCUCUACUUGUUCUACUCCUUUGAUUUUCUUUUCUACUAUUGAAGUAAGAUUUAAAACCAUUGUAUAUAUUAAUUACUUAUGCUAUAUUUUUUUUUUUAUAAAGGCCAUUUCUACAAGUAAGUCUUUAGCUAUAGAUCAUUUUUCUAUCUUAUUUGAUGCAAGGUACAAAGAAUUACCUUGCAUCCACCAUCUUUGAUAAAGAUUGUUCUUAUUAGUUAAUCAACUUAUUUAUUUUCUACUUUUAGCCAUGGCAUAUUAAGGAUAAUAUUAUAUUUAAGCUUUGUAACUCUGAACUUUUUUUUAAGACAUAGAUAUCACUCAACCUCAAGGUUUCUUCUUCAUAUUUUUCAUUCAAUAUGUUCUCUCAAUCGUCUACUAAAUAUAUAUUUUUUUCUUUGAUCAUCUUGAUUUUAAUUCCAAAUCAUUUGGCAAUUCUAGUCAAGAUGGAAUUUUUUGAAGAAUUGCAAUCCAUAAGUACUUAAUGUCGUUUUUUUCUUAAUUGACUUGUUAAACCUACCAAUUGUUCCUUUUGAUAGUUAUUCAAGUCCAUGCCAUUUGUUUCUUAGAGGCAAUAGCUAUUUUCAAUACUAGUUCUUGAUGCCUUUAUUCGAAAGCUCUAUUUCAUUGUUCCAUUUUGUUAUUAACUUCAUGAGUCUCAAGAUUGUGAAUCCGCCUUGAUUAUUUGGUGUUUCAAUUUUGAUAUUUUGAACAAUCUUUGAUUUGAUGGUGUGGCUUUUGAGAAUAGAAAUAUAAUUUUUUUUCUCCAAUAUUUAUCAUCUUUGUAGUAUUAGUGAUCUUUGUAGGGUAUCAAUUUUUAUUGGCAUUGGUUAUUGUGCCAUAGUAUUGGAUAGUGGCAUAGGACUUUAUAUUAUAGAUUGUGCUCUAUGAUUUUUAAAAUCUAUUGCAUUGACCUUCUCUGCAAACUUAAUUGUCUCUUCAAAUAUUUGUGGAUCUCUAAAUUCUACCUUUAAUUGGACCUCAAGUUUCAAUCCUUGAAUAAACCAAUCUAUCAUCUCUACCUCUAAAAUAUUAUCAAUUUAGAGAUACAUAGACUUAAAUUAGGAGAUUUAAUCUUAUAUUAACUUAGAUUGUGUAAGAUUAACCAACUGAUUGCAUGCUAUCUUCUUUGUAUUGAUGAGCCAAAAUUAACUCCUAAACUCAAUCUCAAACUCAUCUCAGCCACAAAAUCUACCUUGAGCUCCAUAGCUUUGAAUUCAAUGUUGCCACCAAAUGGCUGCCACAUCUUUCAAAAAACUAGGGACAUAUAUAAUUCUUUUAGUGGUAUUUGCUCUAGAUAGUUUGACAUAUUAUCACAUACUCACGAGUCAUUGAUAUACAUCUUUUUGUCUUUAAGUCCUAGAUUAUGUAUUAGGCUUACUAAAUUUUAGCCUAGCAUAUGUCGAUUCUUUUAUCCUAAAAACUUCCAUUUGCCCUUAUAUAGUAUCUAUCUAGCCUAGAAGAUAUUUUAUUUGAGUUUCCAUGUGGAAUUGUUUUGUCGUAUCUUCCAUGCUACAAUUUCUUUUUUAAACUCUUCUACUAUAAUAAUUUCUUUCUUUCCAACUGACUUCUUAAAAAUAGCUUGUGGUAGCUCCAAAAUAGUAUCUAAUGUGACCACAACAAUUAACCUCCAAUUAAAUGAUGGCUAUCACCAUACUACUAAAGAAUAGACUAACACUUAUUUUGAUACCAAUAAAAUGAGACUAAACUAUCUCUAAGAUCUAAAAUCCUUUCAAUUUGUAGCAAUAUAAAUCUUUUCAUAAUAUAAGAUAAUAUAAAUUAAAAAAAAUUGAACAAAUAUAAAUAAAAUAGAAUAUAAAAGAUAAAAUAAAGCAAAAAAGAAUAAAAUGGAAUUGAAUAUAAAAAUUCAAAAAAAAACUUCACUAAGACAAAGGAAUCAAAGUUAUAUUUGAUUAGAUAUCCAAAUAGCCUUGGUCAAUCUUAUUUAUACUUUGUUCAACCAUCUUAGAAUUUUUUAGAAUAUUUCUAUUGGUGAGCCACAUCUAAAUAAUUAUCCUAAAUCCUUGCUAGAAUGUUUCAUAGUGGAUUCUUUAUAGACCACUAACCUAGCCUUAAUUCUAAAAAAAUUUCAAACAUGGCUCUAACUACCUAUCUCUAUGUGACAAUAAUACAAAUAUCUUAUCCAUAAUUUGUUAAAGGUAUUUCCUAUUUUUUAUUUCAAGAUGUCAUAACUAACUCAAUUAAAGAAAGAUCUAUAUAAAAAUAGAUCCACAAAGAUCAUACAAUCUAAUCUGCAUCAAAUAAAGAGAUGAAUGGAAGACUACUUUUUGAACUAGGCAUAGACAUUUUGAAUAUAAUGUCAUGCCUUUUGGACUCACAAAUGCACCAAUUACAUUUUAACAUCUCAAAAAUGAUAAUUUUUAUGAAUUUUUUUAUGAUUUUUUUUUAUUAUUUAAAUGAUAUUCUAAUCUAUUCUAAGAAUAGAAAAAAAUAUAAACUUCAUGUUCAUUGUAUAUUACAAAAACUUAGAGAUGUAAGAAUGUAUGCCAAAAUAGAAAAGUAUGUAUUCUAUACUUUUUAAGUUUACUUCUUAAGAUACAUCAUUUCCAACAAAGGACUUAUAAUGGAUUUAAAGAAAAUCCAAACUAAAAGGUUCUAAAAAUAGUUAUAGAUGUACAAUGGUUUUUGAGAUUUUCUAAUUAUUAUAAGAUCUUCAUUAAGAAUUUUUUCAAGUUGUGGCUUCUCUUAAAUACUUGAUGCAUGAAGAUAAAUUUAAGUAUAAUAAAGAAAUUGAAGCAUCUUUUAAAGCUUUAAAGAUAACAUUUAUUUCCGCACUAAUUUUAUUUUACAUCAAUUUUUUGAAAAUAUUCUUUAUGAAAAUAGACACAUCAAAUUUUACUAUAAAUAUUAUUUUGUUACAAAUAGGAGUAGAUGACAAGCUCCAUUUGAUAGCUUUUCAUUUCAAGAAAUUUUGAGCAAUAAAGAUUAACUAUGACAUUCAUGACAAAGGACUUUUUGUAAUUAUAGAUUCAUUUCAAGAAUCAUGUCAUUAUCUAGAAGGCACUUUUAAUCCAAAAAUUAUGUAUAUGAAUCACAAGAAUCUUAAAUACUUCAUGUUUGCAAGUGUUUUAAAUUAUUUUCAAGCUUAUUAUAGCAUGUCUUUAUCAAGAUUUGAUUUCAAGAUCACGUAUUAAUACAAAAAAUAAGAAAAUUUGUCAAAUAUCUUUUCUAGAAGUUCUUAUCCUAUACCAAAAAAAAAUUAUAACUUUUGAUUUACAAAGAAUAUUUUUUUCAAAGUUAAAUCAUUUUCACCUUUGAACAAUAAAAUCAAUAUUGACUAUUAAUUCAAUCUUUGUCAAGAAAAUUCAAUCAAGUAUGUUUUCUCAUCUUUUUAUUCAUGAUAUCAAGAAUAAUUCCUUUAAGUCUUAUGAUACUUUCAAGUUCAAGUUUAAGAAUAAUCUACUCUAUUUUAAGGGAUGAUUAUAUAUUCUAAAAGAUAAAGCAUAAUUAUGUGUUUUUCAAGCUUAUCAUGAUUUUUUAAAAAUUAGAUAUUUUAGAUAUAGUAAGACUUUGCAGCUAAUAUCUAAAGAUUUCUAGUAGCCUCAAAUAUAGAGGGCAGUAAAAGACUUUGUAAAAUCAUGUAAUAUUUGUUCAAAAUCAAAAACUCCUUAUCAUUGAUCUUAUGGACUUCUUCAGCCAUUACCUAUUCUAAAACAAUCAUAGUUUUCUAUUUCUAUAGAUUUCAUCAUAGACCUUUUAUUCUCACAUUCAUAUGAUUCUAUAUUCAUAAUAGUAGAUUAUUCUAUCAAGAUGGCAUAUUUUAUACUAUAUACAAAAUCUAUUAUAAGUAAAAAAAUAGCUAAGCUUUUUUUUAACAACAUCUAUUGCUAUCAUAGAUUAUCCAAAGAUAUUAUAUUGGAUAAGAAGACUUAAUUUAUAUUAAGAUUUUUGAGAAUUCUUUUUAAGAUUUUAAAGAUGGAUUAAAUGCUCUUUUGAGAUUUUUAUUUUUAAAUUGACAAGUAAAAAAAUGGAUUAAUCAAUUUUUAGAGCAAUAUUUGAAGUAUACCAUCAAUUAUCAUCAAGAUGAUUGGAAAUUUUUUUUGUCACUAGCAAAAUUUGUAUAUAAUGAUUUGAUACAUUUUUCUACUCAACAAAUAUUUUUUUUUUCUAAUUAUGAUUACCAUCAAUGACUUGAUACUUUUGACUUUUUAAAAGUCAAUAAUCUUGUAGCAGAAGAAUUGAAAAAUCAUUUGUUAGAGCUUCAAACAACAAUAAAGACAUUAUUAAAAAAAAUUCAAGAACGACAAAAGAUGAAUGUAAAUGCAUAUUGCAAGAAACAACUACAAUUCAAUAUGGAUGAAAUAUAUGAUUACUUCAUUGCAAUAUCAAGACUAUUUGUUCUUGUAACAAGUUGGAUUAUUGUAGAUUUAGACCUUUUUUUAUUUGUGAACAAGUCAAUCUUAUUGCUUUUUUAUUACAUCCAUCAAAGUCUACGAAGAUCCAUCUUGUAUUCCAUAUAUCUCUUCUUGAGCCAUAUAAGAUAGUGAAUAUCUCAAAAAGAAGACAAAUGCCACUUUCUCUUAUCGAAGUAGAUAAUAAUCAAGAGUUUGAAGUAGAAAAAGUCUUAGAUUCAAGAUAGUACUAAAAUAGGUUGAAAUAUCUUAUUAAUUAAUGUAGAUAUGAUAUUAGUGAACACACAUGGAAGCUAAAAAAAGAAUCUUAUAGAUAGAGAAAAGAGGAUUGAGGCUUUUCAUUGACAACAUCCAUCAAAAUUAAGAUAUAAAAUUAAAAGAUCUAUAAAAGAUGAUGAUUGUUCUUUGUGAAACUUGUUCUUGAAAGAAAAUGUAAUAGAAUUGAUAUAUAUAUUUAUUCCAAUAAUUAUUUAUAUGAUUAGGUAGAAAUAAAUAAAUAUAGAUUAAUUUCAUAGUUUUCUCUAAAAAAGCUUUUUAGAAGCUUCAUAGUUAUAGUUUUGACUUUAUAUGUAUUUGUAGUUGAUUCAUAGGUUGAAAACUUAUUCAACAAGUUGACCAUGUUUUACACAUAUUGAUAGCUAAUUAUGUAGCAUACAUAUAGAUAACUUGCCUUGCAAGUUAAAACAUGUAUUUAACAAAGUUAACAUAUAUUAGAGGUCCCAUAGAAGUUUGCAACUUAGCUCCUAGUUUAUGAAUAUAUAUGGAGGCAAGAGUGAAGCCUUCCUCACUCUUGUCAAUGCCUUUCAAGUCCUUUGUCUUGUUUUCAGACUUUUUAGUCUUCUUGUCUUUGGCAAUAGCCAUUGUAGUUUAAUACUAUAUUAUCUUUGAAUGAUUUUUUAGUCUUUUUGAAUGAUAUAAGAGUAUAUUAAGCAUUUCUUUCUUUGAAAUCCAUAUCUUUAAUACUAUAGCUUUGAUAUUCUACAAAAUUUGCUUUGAUUGAUAUAUUUGCAAGUUUCAAAAAAUUGCAUUCUAUAAUAUAAUAAAUUAAGUCACUUUAAGAUUGUGCAUUGUAGUUUCUAGUAAAGUGGCCUUAGUAGCCAUAGUUGUAACAAUAGAUUGUAUGUAUACUUUUGGUCCAACUUGUAUUAGGAUAUAUAGAUAAGAUAGAUUAUUUUCUAUCUUUUUAAGUUGUAGUUCUGAAGACUAGAUCAUCAAUUGUUUGUGAUUGCUUUCCAUGGUAUGAUGAUACUUCUCUUUAAAGGUGUUGGUAUUGUCUGUAGAUUCAACAAUUUGGAUUUCUUCUCAUUGGAUCUGCUAUCUUCUUCUAAAGCCAAAUAAAGACUAUAUAGAUUUAGCAAUUUGGAUUUCUUCUUGUUGGAUCUGAUGCCUUCUUCUAAAGCCAAAUAAAGACUAUAUUUGAAUAGCUAGUACUUCUUUGUGACCAAAUUUUUGGUCUCAAAUUUAUAUAUUGUAUGUCUUUGUUUAAAUUUUUUUCAUGGUCUCUUCAAAAGAUGGAUUCAAGAUAUAAGUUAUACCUUGAAUGACCAUCUCAUAGCUUUAAGAAAGAUUGUUGAAUACCAAGUUGUUAAGUAUUUUGUUUGAGAUGGUCUUUUCAAAAGCUUCGAGUUGGUUCUCCAUGUCCAUAGCUUUGGUGAGGUAUGUGUUAAUGUCGCCUUCUUUGUGCAUGGUCAUGGAGUAAGUUAUUUAUUGAGGAGCAUGAUUUAUUGUUAGUAUCUUGAUUGAAAUAUUUUCUGUAGCAUCUCCUACAAAUUGGCUGGAUUAUUAUGUUGAGGUACUAUGCCCAGAAGAUUAUUCUUGAUGGAUAAUGUGAUCCCAGAUUGAACUUGUUGUUUCUCCUCUCACAAUUGAGCUUCUGUGUAGGCUCUUUCUCCUAUUGUAGCUAGAAAUACUUUUGGAUCACUCUUUUCUACUACUAACGACCAUAGGUUUUUUUCUUUUCAGUAUGGCCGUCAUCCUGAGCCUCCAGACAUUUGAGUUCUUGGGUCCUAUCAGAUUGCUGUUGUCAUCAACCUCACAACUCAAGGUUCUCUUUUCGAUGUCAGCCAUUGUUUCCUUACUAGUGGUAAAUUUCCAAAACCUUCAACUGUGAUUACUAUUUGCUACCAAUUAAAGAGCAGAUUUCUCUUGCUAUUUUAGAUCUAAUAUUGCAACCCUAAUACCAAAAGCUAACCUUUGAUACUAUGUAGCUAAACUCACAGAGUGUUGAUCAAAAUCAAGAGAGCUUUAUUAACGAAAUGAAUCCAAGUACAUACAAGACGACAGAUUUAGUCUACAACUAGAGCGAGUAUACUAACGGUUUCCAUCCACAGAAUAACUAGGGCUGGAUGGUUGAUGGCCUUCACUAGGGUGAUUAGGUCAGCACAGGUUGAUGAUGCCAAGAGUCAUCCCAACUCAACUCACUGCCUGAGGUGUCCAUCCUGAUCCCAACGCCAUCACCAGGCAGCAGCUCCAAACUCGGUAUCCAAGUUCACCCUCUAAGAAAUUCCGCGGCCCUCCCAAAAUGAUCUCUACAGUGACCUCAGCACAAAUUCCUCACUACCAAAUGGCCAAUGCUCAACCCUGUCAAUCGCGCCACAAUGUGCUUCCCCUCGUAUUCCUCCAACAAUCUAGAAUACUAUCGCCACCGUUGUCAAUUCCAGAAGAUUAAGAGGAGAAUAAAAGUGCUUCACGAAGCAGAUUGAUCUGAGUGCUAAUCACCAAAAGCAUCAAACCGCACAAGAUAGACCUUGGCUCCGGCUCAAUCUGGAAGACGGUCAAACCAAACAUGUGAAGACCGUGGAUGAUGGGAAGGUUGAAGGACGUCGAUUACUCGGAACUUUCUAUAUUCAUUUCGCGUGGAAUAGCCGCAGUAAACACUAAGCAGAUAACUCGAGAGUGACGGCGGUGAGAAAGAAUUCACACCAAAAGAUUCGGAGAUUUUGAGAGCCAGUUUUCACGGCAUGGGAGACGCCUCCCUAAUGGCUUCCUACACAGGUCGUGAUCACGGUGGUUGACACCGUGGUCGGCAUGAUCGAUCGUUCUCUGUUAAGGAUGAUGCUCUGUUCCGUCCAGACGUUAUUCAUGAACGGCUUCUGUUGGAGCUCCUUGCAGCAGUGGGGAGAGCAGCUUUUUGAACGGAAUUGCCAGACGAAGUCACUCGAAUGUAACGUUUGGUCCUUUCCUUCUUGGUCUGUGCUUACCUUGUUCACUCGGGCCUACUUUAGCCACGACUCAAGAGCCUAUGGAAACACAUCCGUCAAUUAAUAUUCCACGUGUUGCUAUACGUGGUGUGAGCUUACUUGUCUUCGUUAUCGUCAGCAUCUUCGAAUGGUUUGUACCAAACCUGCACUUCUACGCUUAAGAACACGUAUAAAUAAUCCAGUGUAUGUUUCAACGAUUACUUUGUUUCAUACUUUUGAAUCGACUGUUACAGAAACAUCAAACAUCAUUAGUCUUCUGAAAUCGUACUUCAGUGCAAUCAUUGUUCUUCCAGUUCUGAGAGUGUUUGUGAGGUUUAUCUUUGAGUUUGCAACUCAGAAUGGCGGACGAAUACGGGCGGGAAAGGAUUAGAGACGCUGUUGAAGGGCUUGGUGAGGACGGACCUGUAGUAGGCGGUGAGGUUACGGACCGUGGUUUGUUUGGAAGACACGGAAGACAUCACGGAUACAACAGCGGAUACAGUGAAGAAGAUGCGUUUGCCUCUGAGCUCGGAGGUCCAUAUGGACGUCGACCUCCACCUGGAGCUGUGGUUUAUGAAGGAGAAGGUGGCUUUGGCGAUGGAUAUGGACGUCGUCCCCCAGUAAUGCCAUAUGAGGGAGUAGGAGGAGGCUAUGGCGGAGGUUAUGGAAAUGAAUAUCCACCAGAUGUUGCUGGAGGUGGCUAUGGCCGGCAUGGUUAUGCAGGUGAGGACUAUGGUCGUCGUCCUGGUCCUCCCAUGUACGUCGAAGCGCCGGUUGAGAAUUCCGAUCUCGGCACUGGUUUGGUAGACUCCAAUAUCCGAACUGAGCCAGAUUACGGCGCUGGCUACGGUCGUCCGGAUGGCACUAGCGCAUACGAAGUUCAGGGACGUCACGGUGGGAAGCACGGCCACUUGAGUAAAGAGGAACGAGAGGAGCUUGAGGAUGAGCGCAAGCACAAGCAUUAUGCUGAAGCGGCGGCUGCUGCGGCCCUCGGCUACGGACUCUACGAGCGUCAUGAGAAAAGAGACGCGGAGGAUAGGCUGGAAGAACUCGGCUACGAUUCUGACGGCAAGAAGAAACAAGGCCACCACUUCUUCCGCUCCGAUUCCUAAACAUCGGAUCGGGGUUGGAAGAGAACCUGAAUUGAAAUCUAAGUUUUAUGUGUAAAGCGUUGUGUAGCCUGCGGAUUCGGUGUUGUGAUUAGACUUAGAGGUGCGCUUGGUCUCUGCAAAAAAUCUGUAAAAAUGACCAGAGGAAUUGCCAAUGAGUACGGACUGCCUCGUAGAAAGCUCGUUUUCACUUGAGCUAUGAUUACGUCAUGAACUUAUUCUGUAUUUUACUAACAAUGAAAUCGCAAGUCUUGCAUUUGAUUUGAUUUCAAAACUCGAUAUGCAAUAGAGUUUCAGGUCUCAAUCUCCUGUUAACUCUCGUGUACUCUUUCAGACCACCACAUUUCAAUCUCUUGCCAGAAUUAUAUCAUCCUGUCGUAAGAAACUUCUCGGUUACAGUUCCUACCAACUUCUGAAGCACCUCACAGAAAUUCGGCGGCUUCUUAAGAAAUUACAAAUUCGAGUUCCGGGAGUUUGGUCUUGUAUGUGUAUCUGUGACGUAGUAACAUGUUUUACUGUGAAUCAGCAGAUCCAUCCGAGCUUGCUGCGAUGCAAUUGUCUUCCAUUGAAUAUAUAAUGCUGGUCAGGAACAUCUUUAGCCCCCCGUCCCCCGCAGAAUAUUAAGAUUUCCUGAUGCGUCCAAUUUCUGGAAAUACUUCAAAGCUGGAAUGCUUUGUGGAUCCUCAGCAAUUCGCCAGCUUCACUUCACAAAGUGCAUUCGUCAACUUUCCACUUUACGUGGUUGGAACAAUCAAAAAGUACUCAGUUGAUGCGAAUCCUUCUUACACAUGUUAGCUUUUCAGUUAUGGAUCUUCACUUCGCACUACUUGUUUCUUUAUCCAAGCCACAGCGUCAUCUCGGGCGUCUUCGGUCUCGGUUGCGAAAGCUCGGCAAAUUAAAUUUGCGUGUCAUUUAUCGUGAGCACAGGACAAUUGAAGUGGGGUAGAGACUGGCUGUCGGCCACAGUGCUCGCGACUUGGAUUACGAACGGACGGAGACGGACGAACGAACGAACGAAAAAUAGACGAACAGAGGAGGAACGAAGAAGGGAUCAAACCCUUUAAAAUGAAAAAUAUAAUUAAUUUUGGGGAAUAUUAAAUUAAUUCACCUAAAUCUCAAAUUGAUCCACCAUCAAACUUUUGGAUAAUAAUAACUAUGUGAGUUGCUUUGUACCUCACUUUUGUUGUUAAGCCAUUACCAUGUUGUACAAAGACCUUAUUUGGAUUAAUGAAAACAAAUAGCUCAGGGAAAAUGAUUGAUUAGACUAAAGGGAAUUAAUGCAUAGUCAAAGGUAGAAGAAGCAAAGACAACUAUAUGAAAUAUGACUUAGAAAGCAACCUUCAUAGUCAUUAUUUAGAAUUCAUGUGAUGGAUUAUUUCAAGAUUUAUAUGGAACAAUUUAAUAUUUCUCUUAAAUUUUAGUCAAAACUUUUAGCUUCAUGAUUUCCAAGUACCAAUGUAAAUUCUAUAUUUUAUUGUAGAUUUAUUAUAAAGGAAAUUAAAAAAGAUAAAUUCCCCAAAAAAAAAAAAAAAAAAAAAAGAAGAAAAAAAAAGAAAAAAAAUAAUUUAUUACUAAGUUCUUAGAAAAAUGCAAAAACGCCUUUGCUUACACACUACAUUUUAAUAAUAUGAUCUCAAUAUUGUUGAAAGUAUUGGUUAUCAAAAAAAAUCUAUAAAAUGAAGAAAUCACCAAGUUUACAAUAAAUAUAAUCUAAUUUAGACUAUAUGGAAUAAAUCAUAUAAUAUUAAUAAAAUAUCUGAUUUCUAUUAUAAUUAUAAUUUUAAUAUAUUUUAAUAUUUUAAGGACAAGAACUCAAUGAAAGAAAAUAAACAAAGAAGACUCUUUCCAAGAAAUAUGAUAAAAUAGAAAUAAAAAAAUAUAUAUAUAUUAAAAAAAAAAAUUGAAUGGCUAUUGCCAAAAGACAACGAAACUAGAGACUCUUGAAAUUAGACUAGAACCAAGAAAGGAGUUGACAAGACUGAAGAAGACUUCACUCUUACUUCUAUAUAUAUUCUCUAUCUAGGAUCUAUGUGGCCACGUUCUAUAAGACCUCCAAAGACAUGUUGACUUCACAUAAUAUAUAUAUAUAUAUAUAUAUAUAUAUAUAUAUAUCUUAACUUACAACGUAAGUUUUUUAUAUGGACGCCAUAUAAUUAGCUUAUUCCGCAAGCUAUCCACAUAUGUAGCACAUGGUUAGCUUGUUGAUCAAGUUUCUAAUCUAUCAAUCAACUGCAAAUAUAUGUAAAGCCAAAACAAUGUCUAAGAAGCUCUUCUACAAGGUAUUAUGAAGUUAAUCUACUUCUACUUACUUCUACCUAUUCAUAUUAUCUAAAUAAAAAUUAUAGUAGAUAUAUAUUUGUGAUAAUAUCUCCUAUUUUAAAGAUAAGUUCUACAAGAAGUUGUGAUUAUAUAUUGAUGAAAUCUAAGAUGCAACAAAUUAUAUUUGCCAUAUAUUUUGAUCUUUCUUUCCUUCAAAGGUAGUUGAUAGAUCCUCUUAGCUAUCAAUAAUAUCCCAUUUCACAAUAGAAAGACCUUCCUAUUAUUUGAUCAUUAUUGAAAUCUUCGUAACUUCCUUCAAGUAUAACAUUUGUAAUACCAUCAGGAGUCGUGUCUACUUCUAAUAAAAUCAUCAAACAUUAAGAGUCUCUUUUUAGGUUGUGAUAUCAAGCGUGUUGUAUCUUGCCAUCUAUUCAAAGAAAAACAUAUUGUUCUUGAAGGUCUUCAUUCCUAUUAUGUUAUCUUAAAGGGUGUAAAAAUUCUAAUGUCUCAUCUAAUAAAUCAAUAAAUAAUGGCUCUUAACUUGAAUCUGUUGGCUAUUAAUUUUUCAUCUCUUUAACACCACAAUUAUACAAAAAGUACAAACAAGGAUAGAAGAUAGAAUGUAAUCUUUUCUAAAUUGUGUUUCUUUUAUAGUAAAGGUUUAUUAUUUUUUAUCUUCAUUUUGAUGGAUAUCAAUGAUAAAAUGCUUUGACCUUCUCUGCUAUAUUUAUAAGAUUUUUUGCUAAAUUAUAUGUAUAUUUAUUAAUAUCAUAUCUACACAAAUGAAUAAGAUAUUCCAACCUAUAUGGGUAUUACCUUGAAUCUAACACUUCUUCUAUCUUCAAUUCUUGAUUGUUAUCUAUUUCUAUAAGAGGCAGUGGUAUUUGUUUUCUUCCCAAGAUAUUCAUUAUCUUAUAUGGCUCUAAAAGAGACAUAUGAAAUAUGAGAUAGAUUUUCAUAGACUUUGCAAUUGUUUGGACUUUGUAAUUGUUGUUGAAAGUCAGGGUUUGUAUUGGCAACUUGGAAUUUAUGCAAUGAAAUUAGGGCUAGUACUCUCAGCUAAUUUAUAAAAUUGGUAUUAUAUCUAUAGUUUAAAUUUUUAUAAUACUUAGUUAAUUAGGUGUUCUAAGUGUAUGUAAAAUUUUGUAAUAAUUCAAUUGUGCAAUGAAAAGAUAUUUAGAUUUUGGUACAAGAACAUACCAAAAAUUGGCAGUUUGGAAUUGGGUAGGGUUUCUAUGAUAUUUGAAGAUCUAUUUAUUGGAUCAAGGUAAAAUUUGGCAUGGUGUUGGAAGACUUCAAGAUCAAGCUACACACUAAUUUUGAGUUGAAGUUAACUAUUAGAUAAGGAGAAAUCACUACUGGAAUAUUUGCAUCAACUUUCAAGUUGGCGGCCAAGUAACAUCAGUGUAGUUUUUGGAUAUUUUUUCACAAUUUAUCAAUUGGAUUGAAGUGAAUUCUUAUUUACCACAUAGAAGACUUAUAGUAGCAUUUGUGUGCAAAAUUUUGCUCUAAGUGAAUGGUUAAAUCACAAGCUUUAGUUUGCUAAAGCUUAUUGAUUAGGAUUAAGGUUUGUAAAGAAAGUUUGAAAUUGCCUAAUUAUUGAAGUAAUAAGGUAAUUGGAAUUCAUACAUGGUUGAAACUACUAAGAAGAGUGUUUUUGAGUACUUUGUAUUGGAUUUAAGAAUUUUUGAAUUAAAAUUAAAAUUACAUUCUUCUUAAAAAGAUAAAAUAUAUUAGGAUUUUUGAAUAAUUAUAAAAUUUAAUCUCACCUUCUACAAUCAGAUGCCCGAUGCAUUUCCAAAUAGGACAAUAAAUGAUAAACUUAACAUAAAAUUUUGGGGUGGAAGGUAUUGGAUUGUAUUUGUGGUUAUUUAGAAUUGAUGGCACAAGAAGACAAGUAGGUAGAAUUUGGUAUCUUUGAUGGAGCUUUGGAUAGAGCUACGAGUGGAUCUUCAAGUGGAUUUUCUACUGGUGAACAAGAUAUGUACUUUGAUCUAAACAUUGCAAAAAUGUUUCAAGAUUUACAUUAUUUAUAUAACAACAACAGAGCAAUGAUUGCAAAGAAGUUUUAGUAACCAAAUAGUUACAAGCGAUAGUUAAGAAGAUUGACCAAUUUGAUGAAAAAGAUAUCUCUAAAUAUUUAAGAUGUUAUGUACAAGAAAUGGAAUUGAAUUGUAUUUUUCAAAAGAAAUUAAUUCAAUUAUUUGAGCUUGCUAUGGUAUCAAAUAUAAUAGAAUAUAUAAGGUUUGUUAUGGGAAAAUUUAGAAGUUUAUAGAAGGUAUUUUCACACGUAUUUAAGGAUGAGUAUUUUUUGGAGGAUAUUGAUUGAGUUACUAAAAAAUCAUUCUUGGAAUGGAUUGAACGAUCUAACAAGAAUUUGCAAGCUAUAAAAUUAUUAGGAGAAUUUAAAAGGCAAUUUUUUUAAUUAUUAAAAAUAGAAAAGUUAAUAUUGAGACCAAAUAAGUUUGAAUUGUUACUUCAAGCUAUUUAUGGAGAAUUACAAGAAAAGUUAGAGGUUCUUUUUAAAGACAAAAAAGAAGAUAAAGGAUUGACAACAAAGAAGAGGGUUGUUGAAGAUGUUAUUAGAUUGCUUGCCAAAAGAGAAAGGAGAAAAGAUAGGAUUGGUGCUCGAAGAGUGGUACAAGUAUCAAAGAUUUCAAUGCCUACUACACAAUUGACUAUGCCUAUUAUCCAACCUCUACUAGCUAGACCAAAAAAAGAAGAUAUGGAACUUGAGAAAAUUGUAUAUGGGAUGUGGGGUCUUUAAAUCAAACUUGUAAGGCUUGAAGAAAAAACUUCUACAAUAAGUUCAAAAGCUAUUUUAAAAUAAGAAUAUGUACAAAGAUGUAUUUGGUGUGAUGAUAAUUUCCAUUCUUGAAAAGAUUGUGGUGAAUUUGAUGAGAUGAUACAAUAAGAUUCUAUUUAUUAGAAAGAGGAAAAAAUUGCAUUAAAGGAUACUGGUGAUCUUUUCCAAACCAACUUUGGUAUAGGAGGUAUGAAAGCAUUGGUAAAAGAUUAUUUAAUAAUACAUGGUAUUGCAACAAUAGGAAUUACAAGUUAUGGAAAUAUGGUAGAUAAUGAUGGUAGAUAGAAUUUUAUUGAAAAUGUUCAACCAAGUGGACUUUGAUCUUCUAUCAUUUUUACAAUACAAAAAGAGAAGAUACUAUAGGAAGCUUUAUUGAAAACCACUGUAAUAAUUUGUGGUGCUAUAGGUUGUUAGAAUCUUAUAGAAGCUUUGUCAGUACAUGCAUAUAUUGCUAAAAAUUAACAUGAAGCUUUAAUAGAAGAAAAGAAGAGACAAAAUUUUGAUGAUACAAGAAAAAGAAAUUCUUCUAAGAAGCAAAAUCGAAGACAUAAGGCUUAUAUAGUGGCUUCAUAAGAAUUUUUCACAAAGGAUAUUUCAACAAUAAUGAAAGAAAAAAUAAACGAGAUGAAAGAUAAAGAAAAAUUGACAACUUACAAACUACUUUUUGAUAUUGAAGCAACAAAAAAUUUAAAGAGAGUACUUGACAAACGUGUGAUCAAUGCUAAGGUUGAAUUUACAUUGAAAGUGAUUUUAGAAAUUACCAAGAAAGAAUUCUAUGAUGUCAUUAUUGACAAUAUUAAAUGAAAGAGGCAAAUAAUGGGAGAAGCUGGAUUGAAUCAUGCUAUUAAUGCAUGUUGUUGUCUUGUGAUUUGGCUACUAUAUGAAGAUAAUAUAAUUAUGUACUUAAUAUAUAAUUUACUAAGUAAUAUAGUGAGAACCAUGUUAAUAGGUUUUAGUUGGUUGAUAGAAUAUAAUUUGAUUAUUACUUUGAGAAGUGGUUGUUUAAAAAUAUUACUAUAGAAUUUGUUUAACUUUAAUUUCUUUUGAUAGUGGCUUUUAAGAUUGGUUUUGGUUGAUAAUAACUUCUAAAUAUUUAGAGUCACCUUUGUUAGACAUUGGUGACCUUUGAAAACUUAUUUUUGUUCUUUUAUUUGAUGUUUAGAGCAUAAAUUAUGUAAAUCUUGUAAGAAAAAGGAUUGAAGAAGGAUUUUGGUAGAAAAGGGAGUAAUUAGGGCACCAAUAUAGAUGAAUGGAGAUGGAUGAUGAAAAUUUCCAUUCCUAUUGGUCAAAAAUCAUGACCAAUAGGCUUUGAGGAGGCUGCCCGAGGCCAUUUUUUGAGAUUAGGGUUAGUUUUCCGGAGCCAUUUGAGCUUUGAAGGCUAAAGUCAGUAAGUUUAGGUUUUUUGCUAUGGUUUUGGCACAAGUUUUGUAUGAUUUGGAGUUUAUAUGAAGGAGAUAUAGGCACUCAAAGUUAAGGUGUUGAUUUGGGAGCUACUGUCACUCUUUUUGGCAUAAUGCACGCGUACAAAGAGCAAUUGAGGAUCGGCAAUUGCAAUUGGAGAGAGCACUUUUGCGGCUUCACUUUUUAUAUACUGCUUGCUGGAUUUCAAGUUGAAGUAAAGGAGUUAUUGGAUUUUGAAGACAGUGCAUGCAAUCUAAGGGUAAUAAGUGACCCAAUUUACUAGUAGUUGUUUCUUGAGCUAUAUCUUGAGCAAUUUGACAAUGUUUUGGCUCAAAAUUUCAAGAAAUGUGUAUAUUUAUGUUCAUAAACUUUUUACAUAAGUUUUAUGAUAUUUUAGUAUUGGAUUCUUAAGAUAUUAAGAAAAUAGUGCUCAGAUACUUGUAAAUUAGGGUUUAGAGUAUCUAUUAGGAUUUUUUAGAUGUCAAAAGAUCGGGAGUGAAUUUAUAGUUGAUUUUUUUUGUAAUAAAAUUUAAGAAUGAAUUCUACCUAUCCUAUAAAUUUGAAAUAAACUGAACGGCUAGAUCGACAGUUUUGAAUUUCUAAAGUUCAAAAGAAGAAAAUCCUUUGUGGGAAAAAUAUGUUUUGAAGGGAUUUUGUUAUAUUUUGAGUUUUAUGCAAAUUAAAGGAGUUUUAGGAGGCUAAGACAAGAUUCAUAUAAAGGUUUAAGCUACAUUCUCUAUAGCUAGAUACCCAGUGUAUUCCUAGAUAGUAAAUCACACCAUACGACAACAUAUAUAUGAGGAUGAAGAAAAUGUAUUCGAUAAUUAUUACAAACAAUCAAUAAGUGAGGCGAGGAGUCAUAAUCAAAGAGUAUAUUUUGAUGAUCAAAGUAAUAAAGAUAAAGAGGUUUCAAGUAAUUAAAUGUGAGUUAUAUGGUGCUUGCCUAGAUGUAAAAAUUCAAAUUUGUAAUGUUGCAAUGGAACAAAAAAAUUUUGUUUAAGAUACAACAUACUAUCGUCUUAUUUUGGAACAACCAUAUAUUAUUGCAACUUAGAUGGAAAAAAAUGUACUUGAUGAUGGUUCAGCUUAUAGAUGAAUUCAUAGUAAGGAUGGGAAGAGGGCAAUAUAGUUUUUAACUGUGUUUCCAAAUCAUGAAGGAAAUUGAGACAAAUUGAUAAAAAAUCCAUUGCCAAGGAUUGUUGAAGAAUUCAAGGAUUUUUUGGAGGUACUGCUAUAAAGCAAGAUUAGAGAGAUAUAAAAGGAGAGAUACUCUUGAAAGAUAUAGCUACCUUUGAUGGAAGAUUUAUUAGUAUUUUUGCUAAAUGGAAGUAUUAUCUAUAAGAGGAUUGAAGACUUAAAAAGAAAAAAAAAGAAAAGAAUUGUGUGCUAUUGAAAAAGAAUUGUGUAGAAUAAGAAUAUUAGAAGAUAAUAAAAAGAUUAUUAGUAUUUAUGAAGAAAAUAGUUCAAAGGAUCUUUUGGAAUUGAUUGCAUCUAUUGAAUUAGAUAACAAUGAUAAAAUUAUACCAAUUCAUUUAAGAGAAGUUUAUGAUAUGAUUGAAUCUUUUUAAGUACCAAAGGUUAUAGUUGAGACAAAAUAUAAGACAAUAGAUAAGAAGGUGAAAGCCAUUACUAGACCUUUGUCAGAAGAUUCUAAAGAACAAAUAGAAGAAGCAUCAAAGAAAUGGAGCUUGAGAAAUCUGAGGAAUAUUGAACAUAAGUUUACUAAAGAGACUUUUGAAGAAUUGAAGUUUGAUUUUGAUGGUUCUUUAUUGCCAGAGAAAAUUGUUUGCUUCAAAGAAAUGUUGGCAAAACAAGGUAAAUCAUUUGUCUUUGAGUCUUACAAAAUUCGAUGUAUAGAUCCAAAUAUUGUAACGCCUAUGGUUAUUUUCACUAUUCCACAUGUACCUUGGAAUUUAAGGCCAAUAUCAGUACCAAUGGCACAUUUAUCAAGUUUGAUGGAAUUAUUAAAAGGAAAGAUGAAAAUAAAGAUUUUGAAGCCCUCUUUUGUAUUAUAUUCUAGUCAAUGGUUUACAAUUCCUAGAAAAAAUGAAUCAUCACAAUUUAUUCAAAAUAUGCAACUAGUGAAUGUAAUAACUAUCAAGAAUGUAGGAAUUGGACCUAUAGUAGAUGAAUUUAGUGAGGCAUUUGUAGGAAAGGCGAUAUAUUCAAUAGAUGAUAUAUAUUUGAGCUAUGAUCAAUUUCAACUUGUAGAAGGGAAUAGAGAUAUGACAACGAUGAGAAUACUACUUGGGUUAAUUAGAAUGUAUACUCUUCCUCAAGGUGCAACUAACUCAGUUGCACACAUGAUGAACAAGAUGAAUAAGGUGUUGAGAGAUUUUAUUCCUGAGAAGACUAUGCCUUUUCUAGAUGAUGUUCUUAUAAAGGAAUACAAAGAAGAAAACAAGGAUGAAACUUUAGAUAAAAAAAGAUGUUACAAGUAUGUUACUAAUUAUAUAUAAGAUUAUAAAAAAAUAUUAAUCCGGCUUGGAGAAAUUCAUAUUAUAUUAUCAGGUGUAAAACCUACAUUUAGAAUAUAAGAGGUUGUAAUUGUUGGAUAUUUAUGUAGAUUUUAUAGAAAAAAACUAUAUCCAACAAGAUUGAUGCAUUUGGAAGAAUGAAAGAGGAUUGCAGUUUUUUAACAAAGGUUUGUAGGUUUUUAGAUGCAUGUGUAUUUUAUCGUAUUUAAAUUCUUCAUUAAGCUCACAUAGCGGAUCCAUUAUAUAAAUUAUUACAUAAGGGCUAUCAAUUUAAAUGGAAAAAAAAUCAUAUUAAAGUAAUACAAAGAUGGAAGAAAUUAUUGACAUUGCCUCCAGUUUUGAGAAAAAUUAAUUAUAAGUGCAAUAAACCAAUGAUUUUUAUAGUAGAUACUAAUCCAAUUGCCAUUAAAUGGACUAUAGGUUAAGAUGAUUCAAAUAGAUAUAUAUUUGCAGUGCAAUUUGGAGCUAAGAUUUUAAGAACUUACCAACAUGCAUAUUCAGAAGUGAAAAAGAAACUAUGAAGAAUUGUUUCAGCUAUGAAAGCUGAAAAAGAUUAUUUGAUUGGAGCAAUUGUGGUAAUUGAAACAAAUUUUUUAUCUUUACUUGGAAUAAUUAUCAAUUAUACAACACCAGAUAUUAUAAUAUUGACAUGGAUUGCUUAUAUCAUAUUAUUAAAUUCAAAAUUUUGGCAUAUUGUGGAGAAAGAUAAUUUGGUAGUAGAUAUGUUAUCUCGUCCAAUAUAUGAUAGAAAAGAUGAAAUGAUUGAAGAUAUUGAUGAUGUGGAUACAAUAUUUUAUUUGGUUGCACAAUUGAACAAGAAAAAUAAGCCAUUUCAUGAAGAAAAUUAUAAAGAAGAGUUAUUAAAUAUUGGAUAUUAUUUGAAUAUAUUAAAUAAGAAUAUUAAUCGAUCAAUUAAAAAAUUUAAAUAGAUCAGGAAAAAAACAUAUAGAUUCAUAUUAUAAGGAGGAUUUCUAUGGAAGAGGUCAAAAUCAAAUAUCGGAAUGCCAUGAAAAGUAAUAGGUACCAAGAAAGAUCAACAAACACUAUCCAAGGAGUUUCAUGAUAUUCUAUGGGCGGUGUCAUACUGUAAUUGCUUAUAGUAUGUAAAAAUUAAUUAAGACAUAAAAUAUAUUUUUAAGUCUUGAUAUAGAUUGGAGUGGUAAGUAAAUAAAUUUAAAGAGAAUUGAUAUAAGAAAAUUUAUUUGGAAAUUUAUCUAUUUUGAUUAUAGUGUUUAUAUUAUGUAGGAUUUAGAUAUUUAGUAUAAAGCUUAAGAAAAGGUUGGAGUUUAAAGAUUAAAGUCUAAACUAUUAGGAGGCUUAUUAAAAAAGAUGAAAGCAAGGUAUGGUUGGAUGAAGCCAUAUCUUGAGUUUCUGGAUGAAUUUUUGGCUCAAAAUUUCUAUAAGUGUGAGUUAGGUUAAAAAGCUAUAGAUCAAAGUUUCAUGGUAUUUGAGUACUUAUUUUGUGAGAUAUGAAGAAAUUAACACACAUGUAUCUGUAAGCUAGGAUUUAAAGCUAUUAUUAGGAUUUUUGUGAUAUCUCAAGAUCUAUAACGAAUUUAUAAUUGAAUUUUUUUGUGGUAUUUUUUGAAAGUAUAUUAUUACUUUAUAUAAAAUUUAAGAUUGUUUGGAUUGUUUGAUCAUGAAAUAUGAGCUAUUGAAGUUUAGAAACAUUUUUCAUAAGGAUAUAUAAGGUUUUAAGAUACUUUAUCAUAUAUUUGGAUGUUUUUAAGGCACUUGGGCUUAUGUAUUGAUGUAAUUGCCUAAAAAAAAAUAUUAUAUAUAUAAACUUGAUAUUUUUAUAUCUUAGACUUGAUUGAAUAUUUAGGGGCAGCUAAAAAUCUAACAUUUUCUUGAGGCAAACUUUCUCUACCCCGACAGCAAGACAUAGAAUAAUUUAGGCUAAUUUUGCUAAAUUGAAGAAAAAAUAUUAGUGGAAGAAUAUAUAUUGAGAUGUAGCUUCAUUUAUAGAAUCUUCUGUAAUUUAUCAAAUAUAUUCAAAUAUAUGACAUCAAGAUGGGUUAGAUCCAACAUAUCCCUUAACUAUUCAUUUUAAAUGGGUUGUAGAUUUGGUUAUUAUGCCAAUGUAAUUAUGGCAAAUGAGAUAUUUAGUUUUGGCUUGUUAAGAUUUAUCAAACCAAGUAGAAGGCUUGGCACUAAGAACAAAGUCUAUAGAAGAAAUUUUUAGGGUUUUACUUAAGGAUGUUAUUUAUUACUAUAGAUGUAUGGAAAAGAUCACUAAAAAUCAUGGAGAAUUGGAUGCACAUAAAGCUUGUAAAUUUUUUAAGAGAUGUGGAAUUGAAUUAUCAUUGAAUAUUUCUUAUAAUCUAGAGGGGAAUGCAAAGAGAGAAUGUGGACAUCCACCAUUUGUAAAAACCUUAGUUAAAGCUUACAAUAGAAGAGUGAAAGAAUGGCCUCAACUUCUACCUUAUGCAUUAUAAGUUGAUUGAACAAUACAUAGUUCAGUAAUAGGGUAUAUGCUAGUAAAACUUAUGACAAGUCAAAAAUCAAUUAUGCUAAUUGAAGAACAUAUGCCAACUUGGAGUAUGCUACUAUGGAAAGAUGGAUUGACAAGGGAGGAAUUAUUAGCUAUUAGAAUUUAGCAACUUGAACAAAAAUUGGAAGAUGUAGAACUAGCAUUAAAAAGGUUAUAAAAGAUAAAGUUAGGAAAUAAGACUCGAUUUGAUAAGCAACAUCAAUUGAAGCCUAGAAUAAUUAAAGAAGAUAAUUGAGUACUUGUUUAUAACAGCAGUUUGGAUAACUAACAUAGUACUUUGUAAAAUUUUUCAAAACGUUGAUUUGGACCAUAUGUGGUAGUAAUGGUUCAUGAUAAUGCCACAUAUUUAUUAAAGGAGUUAGUUGGUAUGAGGUUUAAGGUAUCUUUUGCAAAGAAGCAAGUGAAGAUUUUCAUAAUAUGAGAUAGAAAAAUCAAUAUAGAGAACCAUACUGAAGAUAUCAAUAUUUUUGAAGAAGAUAAUUGUUUUGAAGUGGAUGGUGAAAAUAGAAAUGAAGAGUUGGAUAAAGAAAAUAAAGAGAUGGUAUAAUUCUAAUUACAAUAUAUAGUUCAUUUGGUGCAUGCUGGACAGUGCCUAGGUUAAAAGAAAAUAGAUGUUAUUAUGUAAUACAAUUAUAUAGUAAAGUUAUAAUUAAAAUUAAAUUUCUAAUUAAUAUCUAAUUAUCUUGAUUCAAUAAUAAUUCAAGGUAUCUAAAUAUGACUCUUAUAAAAGUCUCUUAACUUAUUUUUUUAUCUUAAUAGUUUGUAGGUUGAAGGUUGGUUAGUACUUUUAUCUUUUAGGUUGUAGAGAUUUUUUUAUUAGUAUAAAAAGACCAUAAAUUAAUAAAAUCAAGUUAAAAGAGAUAAAUAAUUAAUAUGGUUCAUACUAAGAUUAAGUUGAAAGUAGAAUUGGGCUAAAAUAUCCUUAGGAUAGGUUAGAUUGAUAUCCAAAGGUAGACCAUUUGUAAGACAGGAUUGAAAUCAAACCUCUAGCCGUUAAAACAACUUUUUAAGAUAAAAUAGGAUUUUUAUUUCAAAAUUGAAGAUUAGAAUUUGAAAAUUAGGUUGGAGCUUGUUUCAAAGAUAUAAGGUUGAUUUUGAUAGAAUUUGUUUGAAUUUUUUAAUUGUUGUUGAAAGUUAGGAUUUGUAUUGGCAACUUAAAAUUUAUGCAAUGAAAUUAGGGCUAGCACUCUCAGCUAAUUCGUAAAAUUGGUAUCAUAUCUAUAGUUUAAAUUUUGAUAAUACUUGGUUAAUUAUGUGUGCUAAGUGUAUGUAAAAUUUUUUAAUAAUCCAAUUGUACAAUUGAGAGAUAUCUAGAUUUUGGUACAAGGAUAUACCAAAAGUUGGUAGUUUGGAGUUGAAUAGGAUUUCUAUGAUAUCUAAAGAUCUACUUGUUGGAUCAAGGUGAAAUUUGGCAUGGUGUUGAAAGACUUCAAGAUGAAGCUACAUAUCAAUUUUGAGUUGAAUUUAACUAUUGGAUAAGGAGAAAUCACUACUGGAAUAUUUGCAUCAACUUUCAAGUUGGUAGUCAAGUAAUAUCAAUGUAGUUUUUGGGUAUUUUUUCACAAUUUGUCAAUUGGAUUGAAGUAAAUUCUUAUUUAUCACAUAGAGUAUUUUUGAAUAUUUUUUAUUGGAUUUAAGAAGUUUUGAAUUAAAAUUAAAAUUACUUUCUACUUAUAAGGAUGAAAUAUAUUAGGAUUUUUGGAUAUUUAUAAAAUAAAAUUUUACCUUCUACAACUAGAUGCCUGGUGCAUUUUUAAAUAGGAUUACACAUAAUACAAUAGUAGGAUUUUAUACCAAGAUAAAAAAAAAGUGUGUAUUCUAUACUACUCAAGUUGAUUUCUUAGGUUAUAUCAUUUCAAAUGAUGGACUUAUGAUAGAUCCUUAGAAAGUUCAAACUAUUAUAGAUUGGAAGAUCUUAGAAAUGAUAUGAGAUGUCUAAUAUUUUUUGAGAUUUGCUGACUAUUAUCAAAUCCUUGUCAAAGACUUCUCUUGAAUUAUAGCUCCACUUACACGUUUGACUUAUAAAGACAAAUUUCAAUGUAAUCAAGAAGCAAAAAAAACAUUUGAAGCUUUAAAGACAGCCUUUGUUUCUCCAUUAAUCCUAUAUUACAUUGUCAUAUCGCAUAUUUUUUUAUCUGAGAAUAUUUUGGAUACUUAGCUAUAGAGAGCUUAUUUUUGGUUUAAUGGCUUCUUACUCAAUAAUCAAUUUAUCUUGAAUGGAGGAUCAAAACAAACUAAGAAAAUAAAUUUAUAUAAAUUAACCAAACAAAGCUUUUGUAUAUAAAUUUUAUCUAUAUAAUCUAAGAAAAGUCAUUAUAUUCUUAACUACACCUUCAACUUCUUUAAUUUACCAAACUAUCUUUUAGUUGGUAAUUACAAUUAAAAUCAUCUUUUAGUUGGUAAUUACAAUUUUAUUUAUAAAAAUUAAAAAUUAUCAAAAUUCUAUGAAUAUAGUAAUUGUAGUAAUAAUAAUAACCAACAAUAGUAACAAUAACUAGCAAUAGUAAUAAUAAUUAGCUUUUAUAACAAUACCUAGUAGUAGUAAUAGUAAUCAAUAGUAGUAACAUUAAUCAAUAAUCAAUAACAAUAACCAAUAACUAGUAACAUUAAUCAAUGUAGUAACAGUAAUCAAUAACUAGUAACAAUAGCUCCUUCAAAACAUAUUUUUUUCCAAAGGUUUUUUUCUUCUCAAACUUUAGAAAUUUAUAUCUUUUGAUCCAACUAUUCAAUUUUUAUCAAAUUUAUAAAUAAUAUAGAAUUUAACUUUAAGCCUUACUUAAAAAAAAUCAACUAUAAAUUUGCUACUGAUCAUUUGGCAUCUUGACAACCCUAGCAAGUGCUUCAAAUCCUAAUUCACAAGAACCCAAGUACUACUUUCUUCAUAUCUCACAAAUCCAAAAUCUAAAUACGACAAAAUUUAUAUAUAAAAUGUAUUAAUAUGAUUACACACAUUCUUAGAAAUUUUGAGCCAAAGUCUCAUCAAAUUGCUCAAGAUAUAGCUCAAAAUACAACCACUAGUGAAUCGGGUCACUUACUACCAUUACAUUUGCAAGUGCUGAUUUCAACCUCUAAUAUCUCCUUCAUUUCAACUUGAAAUCCAUCAAACAAAAUGCAAAAAUUUUAGCCAAAAAAAUAUUUUUUCCAAUUUCAAUCGCCGAUCUUCUAUUUCUUUUUGUACGCAUGCGUUAUAUCCAAAAGAGUAACAGUAGGUAAAAAAUCAAUACUUCAACUUUGAGCACCUAUGUCUCCUUCAUAAAAAUUCCAAUUGAUUCAAAAUUUAUAUCAAAACCAUAGCCAAAAUCUUGAACUUGGUGACUCUAGCCUUCAAAAGCUCGAAUCUCUCUAAAAGACUAAUCCUAAUUCCUAAUAUGGCCUUAGGCAACCUCCUUGAAGUCCAUUGGACAUGAUUUUUGACCAAUAGGAAUGGAGAUUUGUAUCAUCUAUCUCCAUUCAUCCAUAUGGAUGCCUUAAUCAUUCUUUUUGCUACCAAAAUCUCUCUUCAAUUUUUUUUUGUAUAAGAUUCACAUAAUAUUUGCUCAUAUUAUUAAGUAAAUUAUACAUUAAAUAUAUAAUCAUACUAUUUUUAAAUGAUAGCUAAACCACAACAUGAUAGCGUUGACUUUUCAAAGGCAUUCUUUAUAAAAAUAGAUGCAUCAAACUUUACUUUGAAUGUCAUAUUAUCACAAAUAAGAACAAAUAAUAAACUUCAGCUAGUAGCUUUUCAUUCUAAGAAAUUUUUAGCAAUCGAGAUUAACUAUGAGAUCUAUAACAAAGAGCUUCUUAUAAUUAUAGAUUAUUUUUCAGAUUGACAUCAUUAUUUAAAAGGUACGUUUAGUCCAAUCAUCAUAUAUACAGAUCACAAGAAUUUCCAAUACUUCAUAUCAACAUGUGUAUUUAAUCAUUAUUAAAUCAAUUAGAGUAUGUUUUUAUUAAGAUUUGAUUUUAAGAUCACAUAUUAAGCUAGAAAACAACAAAGUUUAUCAAACUUCCUCUCUAGACAUUCUUAUCUUGCAUAAAAAGAAAGAGAUGCAUCUUUUAAUCAACAAAGAAUAAUUUUCUUAAAUCUUGAGGAUUUUUAUCUUCAAGUAAUGAAAUCAAUAUUGAUUAUUGAUCCAACUUUUGUCAAACAAAUUCAAUCAAGUAUGUCUUCAGAUCUUCUUAUUUAUGAUAUGAAUAAUCCUUCUUUCAAGUCUCAUGAUACUUCCAAAUUUGAAUUCAAAAACAACCUACUUUAUUUCAAAUGAUGCUUAUAUGCUCCAAAAGAAUAAGCACAUUUACGUGUUUUUCAAGUAUACCAUAAUUUUCCAAUAGCUCAACAUUUUGAAUACAACAAGACUUUAGAGUUGAUAUCUAGAUAUUUUUGGUGGUCACAAAUAUAGAAGGCAGUCAAAGAUUUUGUUUAAUUAUGUGAUAUUUGCUCAAGUUAAAAAAACUCCUUGUCAUUGAUCUUACGGACUUCUUCAGCCAUUACCUAUUUUAAAAUAAUCAUGGUCCUUAAUUUCUAUGGAUUUUAUCAUGGAUCUUCUAAUCUCAAAUUUGUAUGAUUUUAUAUUUGUGAUAGUAGAUCGUUUUACAAAGAUAGCAAAUUUUGUACUAUGUACAAAAUCUAUCACAUGUGAAAAAAUAGCCAAGCUUUUUCUUGAUAAUAUCUAUCAAUAUUAUAGAUUGUCCAAGGAAAUUAUAUUAGAUAAGGAGACUUAAUUCAUAUGAAAAUUUUGGAGCACCCUUUUCAAGAUUCUAAAGGUAGACAUAAAACUAUCUUUGGCCUUUCAUCUUCAAAUUGAUGGAUAGAUGGAGCAUAUAAAUCAAGUUUUGGAGCAAUAUUUAAGGCGUACCAUCAAUUAUCAACAAAAAAAUUGGAGAACCUUCUUGUCAUUAGUAGAGUUUAUUUAUAAUAAUAUGAUGCAUUCUCCUAUGAAAUAAACACCUUUCUUUACCAAUUAUGGUUAUCAUCCACGACUUGAUACUUUUGAUUUUUUAAAAGUUGAUAAACUUACGGUAGAAUAUUUGACAAAUUGUUUGUUCAAGCUAUAUGCAAUAAUAAAAGAAUAAUUAAAGGAAGCUCAAGAACAAUAAAAGAUCAAUGUGAAUGCCUUUCAAAAGAAACAACCACAAUUUAAUGUAGGUAAUAAGGCAUGAUUACUUUGUUGUAAUAUCAAGACUACUCAUCUUGUUGAUAAGUUGGAUUAUUGUAAGCUUGGACCUUUUCCUAUUUGUUGACAAAUCAAUCCAGUUGCUUAUUAAUUACAUCUAUUGGAGUCCAUAAAAAUCCAUCAUAUCUUCUAUAUAUCUCUUCUUGAACCAUACAAGACUAGAAAUAUACCAAAAAGAAGACAAGUUCUAUCUUUUCCUAUAGAAGUAGACAAUAAUGAAGAAUUUGAAGGAGAAGAAGUUCUAAACUCAAGGCAACACCGAAAUAAAUUUGAAUAUCUUGUCUAUUUGCCUGGAUAUGAUAUUAGUGAAUGCUCAUGGAAGCCAACAAAAAAUCUUGCAAAUGCAAUAAAAAAGGUGGAGGCUUUUCAUCAAUAACAUCCAUUAAAAUUAAAAUGAAGACCUUCCCUAUAAAAGAAAUAAGAUUUAGGCAAGAUAGCAGUCUAUUUUCUAUCCUUAUUGUAGCUGCUUUGUAUUUGUGAUAUUAAGGAAAUGGAGAAUCAACAACUAGCGGAUUUAACUCAAAAAUAUAAUUUCAACUCAUUAUUUUUACAUGGUAGCCAAAUCACAACAUGUCAACAUAUUUAUAUAAAAAUCAUAGAUGAUUAUUUUAGAUUUAUCAUGAUUAAAAAUAUAUAAUUCAAAAAUAGAUUAAAUUUCUUGUAGUCUUGAUUUUUUUGAAAAUAUAACUAAGAGUAUAGUUGAACAAGUAGAAAUUUAUAAGUCUAGUAUAAUUAAACAUAUAUUUGUAAGUGUAGGAGCUUUCUUGCAUGUUGUAAAAAAAAGAUUAUUUUGUGUCACUUAUAUUGUACUUGUUUCUAAUAGUGAAAAGACUUCAAGUAGAAUUCCAAGUCAAUAUUAAGAUUUUUAAGAUAUAUUUGAAAAAAAGAAUGCAAAUACUUUACGAGAACAUUGUCCCUAUGAUUAGUCAAUUGACCUUCAAGAAGAAGCUCAAUUGCCGUUUGGACCAAUUUAUAGUUUAUCACAAAAUGAGUUGGAUGAACUUAAAGAGUAUAUUGAAGAAAAUCUAGUCAAGAACUUCAUACACCAUUCCAAAUCUUAAGUACAAGCUCUAAUUUUAUUUAAGAAUAAAAAAGAUAAUUCAUUACAAAUGUAUUUUAAUUAUUGAAGAUUCAAAAAAAUCACCAUGAAAAAUAGAUAUCAGCUAUCUUUAAUAUUUAAAAUUUUUGAUAAGUUGAAUCAAACUAAGAUCUAUAUAAAAAUAGAUUUAUAUGGGACAUACAAUUUGGCAUGCAUCAAAGAAGGAGAUGAAUGAAAAACUACAUUUCAAAUAAGAUAUGGAUAUUUUGAAUACAAUGUCAUGCCUUUUGGACUUACAAAUGUAUUAGUAGCUUUCCAACAUCUAAUGAAUGAUAUUUUUUAAGAUUUUUUAGAUGACUUUAUUGUCUAUCAAUUAAAUAUUUUAAUCUAUUCUAAAAACACAAAAGACCAUGAACAACAUGUUUGUUGUGUAUUACAAAAACUAAGAGGUACGAGACUCUAUGUCAAAAUAGAAAGUAUUUAUUUCACACUACUCACGUUGACUUCUUAGGAUAUAUCAUUUCAAAUGAUAGACUUAUAAUGGAUACUAAGUUUAAACUAUUAUACAUUGAAUAUCAAAAAUAAUAAAAAAUAUCCAAUAUUUUUUGAAAUUUGCCAAUUACUAUUGGAUCUUCAUCAAGAACUUCUCUCAAAUUGCAACUUCAUUUAUAUAUUUGACUUAUAAAGACAAACUUCAAUAGAAUCAAGAAGCAAAAGAAGCAUUUAAAGCGUUGAAGUUAACCUUUAUUUUUGCACCAAUCUUAUAUUGGGUUGACUUUUUUAAGUCAGUUGUAAUGGAAACAAAUGUAUCAGACUUAUCUUUGGAUGUCAUAUCAUCAUAAAUAGAAAAAAAUGAUAAACUUUAUUCAAUAGGUUUUUAUUCAUAAAAAUUCUCAAUGGCAAAGAUCAACUAUAAGAUUCACGAUAAAAAACUUCUUACAAUUGUGGAUUUGUUUCAAGAAUGGCACCAUUAUUUAGAAGGCACUUUUAAUCCAGUCAAUUUUUAUAUUGACUAUAAGAAUCUUGAAUAUUAUAUAUAAGUAUGUAUUUUGAAUCAUCACCAAGUCCAUUGGAGCAUGUCUUUGUCAAGAUUUGAUUUUAAGAUUACUUAUCAAUCCAAAAAAUAACAAGGUUUGUCAAACUUCUUUUGUAGAUGUAGUCAUAUUAUAUAAAGUCUUACUCAAGAAUAUAUCAGACACUUGAUUGUAGAAGGUAGAAUAGAAAUUACAACAAAAAAAUCCUAACUUUAAUAGAAUACUAAAUAAAUUAUAAUUAAAUCUUAUCAAUAUUAAACAAGCUUUAAAUAAAUUCAAAAGAACUUAAAGAAAUUACAAAAGAAACAAUAAGAAAACUUAAAAAGAAUUAUAAAAAAAUCUACAAUAAAUCUUAAAAGAAUCUCUAAGAAAUCCUAAAGAAAUAUUAAAAUAAUCAAAAAUAUAUCUUAAAUAAAUCUCAACCAAGUCGUAACUUAAUUUUAGUUGAAACUCUAAUAGACUUCAAUCAAAUCUUAGGCCAAAUCUUAAAUCCAAAAUCCUAAAAAAAUCCUAAAUCUUAGUCUAAUCCACAACCCUAAUCAAACCUUAACCAAAUCCUAAGCAAAUUCUAAAUUCUAAAUCUUAAGUAAAUCCUAAAACCUAAAUUCUAAAUUCUAAAUCUUAAGUAAAUCUUAAAUCCUAAAUUCUAAGUAAAUCUUAAACAAAAUCUUAAAUCCUAAUCAAAGCUUAAUCAAAUCUUCAAUCCUAAUCCAACCUUAAUCCUAAACCAAAUCCUAACCAAAAUCUAACCAACUCAAUCUAAUUCUAACACAAUUUAGAACCUCAAUAUCUAUUAAUUAAACUAUUGAUCUUAAUUAAAAUUUUAUAUACUUUUCAAUAAUAUAGUUAGCAACAAACAUAUAAAAUUUGAAGAUAAUUGUACUUACCAAAUAGAAGAAAAAUCCUAAAAUCCGCUCAAGUAUUUGCCGACCUCCUAUUCCAAUUUGAAUAUUAAACUUCUAAUGCCAAUAUCUCCUUUUCAAACUGUUUAAUAAUUCUUAAAAUUCACAAAUAUAUAGAAAAUCAAGUCUAUUAAUUUUAUAUUUAUAUUAACUCCAGUCCAACUAAUAGAUUGCUAAAGAUCUUAAAAAUCCUAACUAUCUUUCAAAAUCUAAUUUCCAAAACCUCAACCUACUUGAAAUUCAGUAACCUUUAAUUCAAUUGUUCGAUAAAGCUCAAAUUCAUAUCGUAUAUUUUAGACAACUAACCACAUUUAUAUUCAAAAUUUAAACUAUAAAACUACUACUAAACUUAUGAAAUUUUUCAAAACUUAUAAUCUUUUUAUUUCACAAAUUCUAGAAUCAACCAAAAUAACUAUGACUUUGAAAAGCUCUUAUAAAAUCAUUACAUACUCAAAUCACUCCAAAUUAAUAUUUAAAAAAAUCCUAUGAAGUCUGCUUUUAAAUUCCACUCUUCAAUUUAUAAAAAAUUCUUAGAGUUACUUUCAAUACCUAGUUUUGUACCUUGGGAUUUGAUUUUGAUCCAAUAUGAUAACAGGUCUUCUUUGGAUAUCAAGUUUUGCCUUUUUGAUUUAAUUUUUACUGAAAUCAACUUUUGACUUCUUCUUACAUAUGUUUAUAUUCUUUAUUUUUCUAAUCUACUUUAUUUUGCUUUAUUUAUGGCCUUAAAAAGUAAAUAGAAGCCUACUUUAUAAAAAGGUGGCAUUUAUACCUUUAGUUUUAUUUUUUUUUAGACUAUUGUUUAUUUUCUAAGAUAAUUUGCUACAAUAUUUGAAAUAAGAUCUUCUAUAAUAUAAUAAUUUCUUCAUACUUUUCACUUAUUAGUCAUGUUAUAUCAUAUCAACGUUCUUAUCUUAUACUAAAAGAAGGAGAUUUAUCUCUUGAUCAAGAAAGAACAAUUCUCUUAAAGCCAAAGCAUUUUCAUCUCUUAGUAAUUAAAUAAAUAUUGAAUAUUGAUUCAACUCUUCUCAAGCAAAUUGAAUCAAGUAUAUCCUCUGAUCCUCUUCUUCAUGAUAUGAAGAAUCUUUCUUUUAAAUUUUAUGAUAUUUUUAAGUUUGAAUUUAAAAAUAAAUUAUCUUAUUUUGAAGGAUACUUAUAUAUUUUAGAAAGAAAUGUACAUUUACAUAUUCUUUAAAUAUAUCAUGACUUUCUAGCAACUAGACAUUUUGCAUACAACAAGACUUUAGAACUUAUAUCUAGAGAUUUUUGGUAGUCACAAAUGUAGAAGGCAGUGAAAGACUUUGUCUAGUCAUAUAACGUUUGUUCAAGAUCAAAAACUCCUUGUCAUUGACCAUAUGGACUUGUCCAACCAUUACUCAUUUCAAAACAAUCAUAAUCAUUUAUUCUUAUGGAUUUUAUCGUAGAUCUUUCAAUCUCAGAUUCUUAUGAUUUUAUAUUUGUGAUAGUAGAUUAUUUCACUAAGAUAGUAUUCAAGAAAAAGAAGUUUAAAAGCUACAAACACUUAGCAUUAGUAAAGAUUGUAUUCUAAGAGAAGUGUGAAAAAAGAUAUCUCUUACUUCCAACACCCUUUACUUAUAAGUGGAGUUUACAUCCCAAGAAUAUAGACUUCAUCUAGAAUCACCUUCAUCCUUUCAACUAGAUCUAGAUUCAUCUUAAUCUAGCUACCACCUUAAAAUCCUAGCCAUUGCCAUAAUAACUUCUUUCAAUGCUUUGCUACCUUUUGAUUAUUAGCAACUUACUAUGAUUAAUCUUUAUUUGUUGAUAACUAAGUAAGAAAUUAUUGAUCUUCAACACUCUCACUUUGCUAAUUUUUAAAAGAUUUUUAAUCCUAAUCUCUGAAUCAAGUUAUGAUGUCUAUUCUUUAGUAAUGUCUUUGUAAGCACAUCAGUAAGCAUGUCAUUUGUUGCACAAUAUUUUAUACAUAUUAUUCCAUCUUCAAUCUUCUCUUGUAUUAAAUAAUGUUGAACAUCAAUGUCCUUGGUCUUUGAAUGGUGUUUUGGAUUCUUGGCAAAUAAAAGAUAUCGUUGAUUGUUACACAUAAUUAGAAUUGCUUCUAAUUGUACUAGAUUAAUGUCUUCUAAGAAUUACCUUAUCCAACACACCUCUAUUAUACAAUGACUUGCUGUCAUGUACUCUACCUCCAUCGUUGAACUUGCAAUGGUAGGUUGUCUCUAACAAUUCCAUGAAAUGAUUCUCACUCCAAUAAAGAAGACAUAUUCUAUUGUGGAUCUUCUAUCAUUUGCAUCUCUAGUCCAAUCCGCAUCACAAUAACGUUGUAAGUCAAUAUUUUUACUACCAAGGCACAAUUUGAAGUCCUUUGUAACUUUUAAGUACCUCAAUAUUUUCUUUAUCAUUUUUCAAUGUAUUAGUUCAACUUUAGACAUGCAUUGGCUUACAACACUUAUUACAUAUGUAAGAUCCACUCUUGUGGCCACCAUUGCAUACAUGAGUGAGCCUACUACUGCUUUAUAUGGAACACUUUGUAUCUCACCUUCAACUUGUGCAAACUCCUCAUCCAUGAAGUUUAUCAACUUCAAAUUUGCCUCCAAAGAUAUUCCAAUGGGCUUGUAUUCCUCUAUUUUGAAUUGUUUCAACACUUCUUCAAUGUACUUAGUUUGGCUCAUUGUAAUAGUCUUGUUACUAUGAUCUCUUACAAAUUCCACUUCCAAGUAGUAGUACAACUCUCUCAAAUCACUCAUCUCAUAUUUAUUUUUUUUAAUUUGGCCUUCAUUCAAUCCAUCUUUUCCAUAUUGUUAGCCAAGCUGAUCAAAUCAUCAACAUAAAGGAUUAUAAUUAUCAAGAACUCUCUAGAUUAUAUCACAUAAAAUGAAUGAUCAGCUUCACUCCUCACAAACCCUUCAUUCACAAAGAAGGUAUUAAUUCAUUUGUACCAUGCCCUUGGUGAUUGUUUCAAUCUAUAUAAGGAUUUCUUCAAUUUUCAUACAAGAUGUUCUUUGUCUUGUUGUACAAAUCCUUGAGGUUGGUCCAUAUAGAUGUCUUCUUGCAAUUCUCCAUUCAAAAAGGCCGUCUUUACAUCUAUUUGGUGUAUUUUCAAAUCCAUUGCUUGCCCAAUUGCUACAAUGGUCCUAAUGGUGGUGAAUUUGGCAAUGGAUGCAUAAAUCUCAUUGAAAUCAAUUCCAGCAACUUGUGAAUAUCUUUUGGCAAGUAAUCUUACCUUAUGCCUCACCACUACACCUAUUGCAUCUCUUUCAGUCCUAAACACCCACUUACAACCAAUACUAGAUCGAUUUGUUGGAAGACGUGCCAAUUUCUAUAUAUCAUUGUCCAUAAGAGUUUAGUAUUUUUUUUUCCAUAGCCUUCUCCCAUUUGAUUGCAUCUUCAUACUUCAUAGCAUCAUACAAAGAUAAUGGAUCAAUAAGAAGAGUAAAAUUUGCAUGUUCUUCACUUACUUGAGGAAAGAUGUGAUCUUUCUACCAUUCGCCAUGUUACCUUCUUUCUCUCAAAAGAUAUCUCCUUUCACUUAUAGAAGAACAUUCACCUUAUUAUACUCUAUGUUCUUUUUCAACCUUCUUUUCUCUUAAACCUUGUCGUUUCUCACUCAAUGGUUGGUACUCUUAGUUAUCAUCAUUCCAAUCUUCAAUAUCUUCAUUUCUUUCAUUAUUGGUCUUAGCAAUUGUAGGAGCCUUCAACUUUUCAACCUUCUUUGGCUUUUCAUCUUCAUCAUCUUCAUUAUCUUCAUAUUCUUGUUUCUUUGCUGAAUUCAAAGAUGUAUCCAAAAAUACACCAUUACUCCCACUUAAACACAUCUUUAAGUGCUCACAAGUACUUUUAUGCUCCAAAAACUCAACAUCACAAAUUUUGAUGUUCUUGGUUUUCAAGCACAUUAGCUUAUAUGCCUUAGUACCUUCACAAUAACCAAGAAAUACACACUUUGUACCUUUUGCAUCAAGUUUGGACCUCAUGCAAUUUGGUAUUUUUACAUAUGCAAUGCAAUCAAAGGUCCUCAUAUGAGAAAUACAAGAUUGUCUCCCACUCCAAGCUUCUUGUGGUGUCAUUGAUGCAAGAAUACUUAUUGGACACCUAUUUCUUGUAUACACUACAUUCACCACAACUUCCGUCCAAAAUUCAUAGCUAAGGUUUUGAGCAUGAAGCAUGCUCCUUGCCAUCUCUACUGUGGUUCGAUUUGCCCUUUCAGUAACACCAUUUUGUUGUGGAGUGUAUGGAGUUGUGGUUUCUCUAGUAAUUCCUUCAUUCUUCAAAUAAACAUCAAAUUUCUUAGACAUAUAUUUACCUCUAUUGUCCGUACGCAGUACCUUGAUUUUGCAUUCACUUUGUUUCUCAACAUGUGCAUUAAACUCCUUAAACCUCCAAAAGCAUUCACUCUUGGCUUUAAGAAUGUAGAUCCAAAUCUUUCUUGAAUAAUCAUCAGUGAAAGUGAAAAAAUACCUUGAUCCUCCAACACUUGUGUAAACUCAGCAAAUGUGGCUACCUCCACUCCAUUCACCUUUUUAUAAAUGAGGAAGUACAAAUUUUCCUCUUUCAAGCUUUUGAAGACCUUGUCUCUAUUCAAUGUUCUUACAAAACAUUUAUUCAUGUCAAAUUAAACUUUAAAACCUUCCAUUAUAAGUUUAUUCAUCGAAAGUAGGUUUUGCUUCAUUUUAGGCAUAUGAAGGACGUUUUUGAGUCUGAUCCUAUUGGUUUGUCCAUUCACAACCACCUCCACCAUAAUAGAGCCAAUUUCAAUGGCUUUACAUAUGCCACUAUCCACCAACACCAUGUUUGAUACUGGAAUAGCCUCAUAAGUGUCAAAUAAAUACUUAUAAAGUGUCAUGUGCUUGGAACAACCUGAAUCCACAAUCCAUCUUGACAUGUAAAAUUACACCCCUCAAUCCAAAUUAUAAGAUGGUCUCAAUCAAGAAUUGCUUGUAAUAGGUGGUGUGAAGUGGAAGUAACAAACAACAAGAACUAAAGAAGAAUAAUACAAAACAAAUAAAACAAGUGUAAUCAAGCAAUUAUACACUACAAAACGAGUCACAGUCUGUUCACUAGAUUUUUACUUAAUAAAAAAUAAAAAAUAAAAAAUAAAAGUAUAUUUUUAGAAAUUUAAUUUUUUUAUCCUUUCAAUGACGUAAAAAAUAUAUAAAUCCGAGUUAUUAUGAGUAAAUUAUGAAGGAUUGAAAAUAACAAGUAACAAAUGGAAAGUUAAGUGAAAAUAUUUUACCUCAAGGAUAACUUGUUAAUAGAUCAAGGGUUCGAACCUCACCAAGGCUCACAUGUACUGUAUGUAGAUUGUCUAAAGAGGCCUUGAAGCCUUAGUCUUAUCUUCCUACCUACAUCCAAGGUGCUACAAUCCAUAUGGGACUUGUGCACCUCCCUUCUUAUAAGGACUAUACUAGCUGCUGGUCCUCCUAUUUUCUACUAGUAGAAUUAAUAUUUUUGUAUUUUUGACUUCACCUUGGUUUUCAAAAACACUCAAUCAGCCUAGAAACAUUUUGUGGCCUUCAAACCUUGCUCCAUGUCUUCAUAAUGGCUCCUCAAGUGGUAAAAUUUAAUUUUAUCAAGGUCUUAAAAAUUACCCUAAAAAUUCAUAGAAAAUUCUAAAUAAAUUCUAAAUAAAUUCUAAAUAAAUUCUAAAUAAAUUUUUAUAAUAUUUCUAUAAUUCUAAUAGCAAUUUAAGGAUAUAAUUUCCUAUAUUAUUUAUUUUUUAUAGUAAUGGAAUCAAUUUAAAUCUACUAUAAAUUCUACUUUCUAUAUAAAUAACUAAAAAGAUAUGAUGUUCUUUCUCAUACUUCUUUUAAGUACUAACUAAUACUUAUAGUUUUUGUAUAAGUAAUACAUAUAGAUAUAAGAUCAAUAUAAAUAUUGAUUUUAGUAACUACUCUUUACUCCUCAAUAAUAAGUAAAAAUACUAAACCAACUAAAAUAAUUGCCUCGAAGACUUACUAAGACUCCAUUUCUUCUCCACUAAUACUAUUCUUCUUUCUUUAACAUCUUCUAAGCACAUCUUUACCUAAUAAUUUUAAUUUUGGUACUCUACAUGCAUUCUUUUUUCCUAAAACAACUAGUGAGUCAAUCUUAUGACUUACAAACAACAUCUAUCGCUAUCAUAAAUUACCUAAAGAUAUUAUAUUAGAUAGGUGAAGUCAAUUUAUAUUAAUUUUUUAAAAAAUACUUGUUAAGAUUCUAAAAGUAGACAUAAAACUAUCUUUAGCUUUCUAUCUUCAAAUUGAUAGGCAAACAAAGCGUUGUCAUGUUGUAACAUGACUAUAUGGUGAAAAUAUAAAUAAAAAAGAUUUUAUUAAUAUUUAGUCAUCUUGGAUGUUAGAAAUAGUGGCCAAUUCCAGUGCCAAUAUUCAGGGGGCCAAUUAAUGUCACCCCAUUGCAAGCUAUACUACCGUACAUGACAUCAGCAAUAUGCUCCACCGACAUCAUCGAACCAAGUAUCCUCCAUAUCAACAGGACAAUCAGAAUCAUUUUCUAACCCUACAUGGAACAAGCCUAGUAGGUAUAUACCAAUGGAGACACCCAAUAUGCUUGAUGGAGGUGCAAGAAGACCACUUCAUUAUUUUUGUUGCAGACAGAUUGGUCAUUAUGCUAGUGAAUGUCUCAUCCCAGAACCAAUGACGAUUACACGCUAGUGUGUGGAACUUGCAAGCAAUUGGGACAUACUUAUCAUCAAUGUAAUGCUCCGUUCAAUUUCAAUAAUCAAGAUCAGUAGAUCCAAAGCCAAGAAAAAAUUGAUGAAAUAAAUUGAAGUCCUUAAGAUACUCCGAUAAAUUGGACAGAAUAUGUUCAAGCCGCUCUUACCAGGAGUCAGCAAAAAGAGAAAGGAUCAAUUCAAUAUUUGGGUGAGCUUGAUGCGAAGGAUCAAUUUGACUCAAUUACGGGGACAUCCAAUCCAAGUCCUAUUACGAGCCUCUUACCUAAUAUGAGAUCUGACUCGGUCGGGCAGUCCAAUGAGGUCCCGAUUACGGAGGCUUCGGUUCCAUUUCAAGUUGUUUCCUUCUCUAUGUCAUUUCCAAGAAACGUCCUUUUCGUGGAAAGAUCCUCUUAGAGGUGGGAAUUCCAUGGAAGCAUGGUCUCUUGUUCCAAUUCGGAGUCUAGGGCGGAAGAAUAGGGGACCUCAUGAAGUUAAAAGAAAAGAGAGGAAAAAGAAGAGGGCAUUCGGAGAUUGAGAUUUUGGGAUUGGAGAAUUAGGUUCAAGCUCCUUUCAAAGGUAUAGAAUUGGAUUUCAUAGGAUUUAGGAGGACUUUACAAUCGUUGCUCAAAAUCAGUGUUUGUAUUGGUGAAUUGGAUUUUUGUAAUAAAGCAAAGGCUAGCACUCUUGAUUGUUUUGCGAAAUUGGAGAGACAUCUGUGGUUGAAAUUUUAGAGGUAUCUAGAUAGUUGAGUAUACCAAGUGCAUACAAAAAUUUGUAUUAAUCUAAUGGUAUAGAUAGAAGAUAUUUGAUCAUUAGUGUAAGGAGAUAUCAAAAGUUGGUAUAACAAAUAACAAAAAAAUCCAUGCUUAUAAUAUCUAAAAGCUAUUAAAAAUAAUGUUUCUAAGUACUUUGUAUUGGAAUUAAGCUUUUACAUUGAAAUCCAAAAUAUUUUGUAUUUAGAUGGUUGAAACCCACUAGACUACUUGGAUACUUACAAAACAUUGUUUUAUCUUCCAUAGCCAGAUGCUCGAUGCAUUCUCAAGCUAGAUAGUACGUAAUACGACAGCAUAUAAAUUAAGCUUUGAAGUAAUAUUUGACGUAUAUCAUUAAUUAUUAAGAAGAUUAUUAGACAAUUCUUUUCCUAUUGGAAAAAAUUUCUUAUAAUAACACGAUAUAUUCUUCUAUGUAAUAAAUAUCUUUCUUUAUUAAUUAUAAUUAUCAUCCACAAUUUGAUACUUUUGACUUUUUUAAAUUUGAUAAUCUUUUGACAAAAGAUUUUAUAAAUUAUUUAUUUGAGCUAUAUAUAAUAAUAAAGGUGCAUCUAAAAGAAACUCAAGAACAACAAAAGAGCAAUGCAGAUACUUAUCACAAGAAACAACCUCAUUUUCACAUUGGUGAUAAGAUAUGGUUACUUUGUCAUAAUAUUACAACUAUUUGCCCUUAAAACAAAUUAGACUAUUGUAGACUUUGAACCAUUUUUUAUUUAUAAACAAGUCAAUCCAAUUGCUUAUUGAUUAUCUCUACCAAAGUCUAUGAAAAUCCAUCUCAUAUUUCAUGUGUCUCUUUUAGAGCCAUAUAAAAUAAUGAAUAUCCUAGAAAGAAGACAAAUACCAUCGCCUCUUAUAGAAGUAGAUAAUAAUCAAGAAUUCAAGAUAAAAGAAGUCUUAGAUUCAAGGUAAUACCGACAUAAGUUAGAAUAUCUUAUUUAUUGGCACAGAUACAAUAUUAGCAAAUGUAUAGGAGAAGCAACAAAAAAUCUUACAAAUACAAUAGAGGGGGUCAAAGUAUUUUAUUAUUGACAUCCAUCAAAAUCAAGAUGAAGGAUAGCAAACCUUUGCUAUUAAAAAAAAACAAUUUAAAAAAAAUUACAUUCUAUUUUCUAUCUUUAUUUGUACUUUUUAUAUAAUUAUGGCAUUAAGAAGAUAGAAAACCAAUAGCCAAUGGAUUGAAAUUAAGAGCCAUCAUUAGCUGACUUAUUGGAUGAAACAUUGCAAUUCUCACAUCCUUCAAGCUGACAUGAUAGGAAUAAAGACCUUCAAAAAUGACAUGUUUUUUUUUAAUAGACAAUAAGAUAUAAUGCAUUUGAUAUCACAACCUGAGAAGAGGCUCUUGAUAUUUAGUGAUUUUAUUGAAAGUAGGUACAACUCUUGAUAGUGUUAUGAAUGUUAUAUUUAAAGAAGGUUUUGAAGGUUUUAAUAUUGAUCAAAUAAUAGAGAGGUCUUUGUGUCAUAAAAUAAAACAUUAUCAAUGGCUGAAAGGACCUAUCAACUACCUUUGAAGGGAACAAAGAUCAAAGUAUGUGGCAAAUAUAAUUUACCACAUCUUAGAAUUCAUCAACAUGUGAUUACUACUCCUUGUGGAAUUCAUCUUUAGAAGGAGAAAUAUUUUCAUGGAUAUAUAUUUAUUAUAAUUAUAACCUAGAUAAUAUGAAUAAAUAAAAAUAAGUAGAAGUAGAUUAAUUUUAUAAUAAUUUUUAAAAAAACUUCUUAGAAGCUUCUUAAACAUUCACAAAAAAAAAUGAUCCAAGUCUACAACAAUCCAACUUGUGACAAAGGCAAAUAGUUUUAAUAUUACAAAAAAGUAACCAUAUCUUAUUACCAACAUCGAAAUAAGGUUGUUCUUUGUAAUAAGCAUCCGAAUUGCUCUUUUGUUGUUCUUGAGCCUCUUUUAGAUACACCUUCAUUGAUGUAUGUAGUUCAGAUAAAUGAUUUGAUAAAUCUUCUAUUACAAGAUUAUUAACUUUUAAAAAUUCAAAAGUAUCAAAUCAUAGAUAAUAACUAUAAUUAGAAAAGAAAGGUAUUUAUCAUAUAAAAAAAUGUACUAUAUUAUUAUAAAAAAAUUUACGAAUAGCAAAAAGAUUAUCUAAUCAUCUUAUUGAUAAUUAAUAGUAUACCUCAAAUAUUCCUCCAAAAUUUGAUUUACAUACUUUUUUUUCAUGAGUUUAAAGAUAGAAAGUUGAAGAUAGUUUUAUGUCCACUUUUAAAAUCUUAAAAAGUAUUUUUUAAAAUCUUAAUACAAACUGACUUUUCCUAUCUCAUAUAAUAUCUUUAGAAAAUCUAUGAUAGUGAUAGAUGUUGUCAAAAAAAAUUUGGUUGUUUCUACACUUGUGAUAGUUUUUGUACAUGAUACAAAAUAUACCAUCUUGGUAAAAUAAUAUCAAGGACAUGAAUCUCAAAGAAAGAGAAUCCUCAAUAUAGUCUUCUAUCACAAAAAACAACUAGAAAGUCACUCAAAAGGUGAUGUAAUAUUAAUUAGAAUGGCUAUUGCCAAAAAUAGGAAGACUAGAAAGUCUUGAAACAAGACUAAGAGUACAAAGCCAUUGACAAGAAAGAAAAAGGCUUCACUCUUGCCUCUAUAUAUACUAUCUACGUGGCAAUGUCUUAUAGGACCUCCAACAUAUGUUGACUUUGCUAGCCACAUGUCUUAUCUUACAAGGCAAGUUAUCUAUGUAUGUACCACAUAGUUGGCUUAUUCUACAAGCUAUUACAUGGAGAUAACUUGUUCCAUAAGCUAUCAAUACAUGGUUAGCUUUUUGGCCAAGUUUCUAACCUAUAAAUACAUCUAAAGUCAAAACCGCGUCUGUGAAGACUUUAUAAAAUUAUUCUAUAUUUACCUACUUCUACUUAAUCAUAUAAGUAAUUAUUGAGGUAAUUGUAUAUGUCCGUGACAUUAUCUCCCUUCUAGAGACGAGUUCCACCAAGAGUAGUCUUCAUAUGUUGAGGAAGUCCAAGAUGCAGCAAAUUAUAUUUGCUGGAUACUCCGAUCUUUGCUCUCUUUGAAGAUGGUUGAUAGGUCCUCUCAACCAUCUAUAGUGUCCCAUACCAAAGCAAGAAGACUACCCUAUUAUUUGAUUAUUGUUAAGGCCUUCGUAACUUCUUUCAAAUAAAAUAUUUGGAACAUCAUGAAGAAUUGUUCCUACCUCUAAUAAAAUCACUAAACAUCAAGAGUCUCUUCCAAGGUCGUGAUACCAAACACAUUGUAUCUUUCCAUCUAUUUGAGGAAGGAUAUGUCAUUCAUGAGGAUCUUCAUCUCAAUUCUAUCGUCUUCAAGGUUGUGACAAUUACAAUAUCUCGUCUAGUAAGUCUGCAAAUGAAAGCUUUUGAAUUGAAUCUACUAGUUGUUGGUACUCUAUUUCAUCACAAAUAUAUAAAAACUACAAUGAAAGAUAGAAGAUAAAAUGUUAUUUUUCUUUGAUGUUGUUUCUUUUAUAGCAAAGGUUUGUUAUUCUUCAUCUUGGUUUUGAUGAAUAUCGUUGAUGAAAGACUUCAAUUUUCUUUGUUGUAUUUGUAAGAUUCUUUGAUGGCUCCCAUGUGCACUCACUAAUAUCAUAUCCGCUCCAAUGAACAAGAUAUUUUAACCUAUUUAAGCGCCACCUUAAGUCUAAGACUUCUUCCACCUCAAACUCUUAGUUAUUAGCUACUUCUCUAGGAAGAGGUGGCAUUUGUCUUCUUCUCAAGAUAUUCACUGUCUUAUACAGCUCUAAAAGAGACACGUGAAAUAUAGGGUGGAUCUUUAUAGACUCCCAUAGAUAUAAUCGAUAAGCAAUAAUAUUGAUUUGUUCAUAAAUAGAAAAAGAUCUCAGCCUAUGAUAAUCUAAUUUAUCACAAAGACGAGUAAUCUUGAUAUUAUGACGAAGUAAUCAUACCUUGUCACCCAUAUUAUAUUGUAGUUGCUUCUUGCGAUAGACAAUCGUGUUGAUCUUUUGUCGUUCUUGAGCUUCCUUUAAUUGUAUCUUCAUUGUUGUAUAUAGCUCUGACAAGCAAUUUGGUAAAUCUUUUGCUAUAGGAUUAUGAACUUUUGAAAAGUCAAAAGUAUCAAGACGUAGAUGAUAACCAUAAUUGAUAAAAAAAAGGUGUUUGUUGAAUAAAAGAAUGUACUGAAUUAUUAUAUGCAAACUCUAUCAAUGGUAAAAGAGUUAUUCAAUCAUCUUGAUGACAGUAGAUAGUACAUCUCAAAUACUACUACAAAACUUGAUUUAUCCAUUUUGUUUGUCCAUCAAUUUGAGGAUGAAAAGCUGAAGAAAGCUUUAUAUCCAUCUUUAGAAUCUUGAAUAGGGUUCUCCAAAAUCUUGAUACAAAUUGAGUUCCCCUAUUCGAUAUAAUAUCCUUUGGCAAUCCAUGAUAGCGAUAGAUAUUGUCAAUGAAAAGCUUAGCUAUUUCUUCACAUGUAAUAGAUUUUGUACAUAGUAGAAAAUGUGCCAUCUUGAUAAAACGAUUAAUUAUAAUGAAUAUAGAGUCAUAAGAACCUGACAUUGGAGGAAUCGUGAUGAAAUCCAUAGAAACAAAAGACCAUGGUUGUUUUGGAAUGGGUAACGGCUGAAGAAGUUCGUAAGGUUAAUGAUGAGGAAUUUUUGAUCUUAAGCAAAAAUCAUAAGAUUGUACAAAAUCUUUGAUUGCCUUCCACAUUUGUGGCCACCAAAAAUCCUUGGAUAUUAGUUUCAAAGUUUUAUUGUAUCCAAAAUGUCCUACUGCUAGAAAGUCAUGACAAGCUUGAAGAACACAUAAUCGAGCUUCACAUUCUAUAAUAUAUAGGUGUUCUUCAAAAUAUAAUAGAUUAUUUUUUAAUUCAAACUUGGAAGUAUCAUGAGACUUAGAGGAGGUAUCUUUCAUAUCUUGAACAAGAAGAUCAGAGGACAUGCUUGAUUGAAUUUGCUUCACAAAUAUUGAAUCAACAGUCAAUAUUGAUUUUAUAGCUCGAAGAUGAAAAUACUCGUGCUUCAAGAAAAUUAAUCUUUAUUGAUCAAAAGAUGUAUUUCUUUCUUUUGGUACAAAAUAAGAAUGUUUAGAAAGAGCAUCCGAUAAACCUUAUUAUAAUCUAGAUUGAUAAAUGAUCUUAAAAUUGAAUCUAGAUAAAGACAUGCUUCAAUGGGCUUGACGACGAUUCAAGACACGUUUUGACAUGAACUACUUGAGGUUCUUAUGGUCUGUAUAUAUGGUAACUAGACUUGACGUGCCUUCUAGAUAAUGAUGCCAUUUUUUUAUUUGAAUCAAUGAUUACAAGAAGCUCUUUGUCAUAGAUCUCAUAAUUAAUCUCAACUGCUCAAAAAUUUUGUUGAAUGGAAAGCUAUUCAGUGGAGUUUGUCAUUUGUUUUCAUUUGUGACAACACGACAUCUAUAGCAAAAUAUGACGCAUCUAUUUCCAUAAAAAAUGCCUUUGAGAAGUCAACAUAGCAUAAGAUUAGUACAGAAAUAAACUCCUUCUUUAAAGCAUCAAAUAAUGCUUCUGCUUCUUUAUUCCACUCAAAUUUGUCUUUACAAGUCAAACAUAUAAGUAGAGUUACAACUUGAGAAAAAUUCUUGAUAAAUAUUUUAUAGUAAUUAAUAAAGUCCAAAAAGCAUUGCCCAUCUCAUACUGUUCUUGGAAUCUUCCCAUCUAUGAUAGUUUGAACCUUCUUAGGAUCCAUCAUAAGGCCUUUGUUGGAAAUGAUGUAUCCUAAAAAUUCAAUUUGAGUAGUGUGGAAUACACACUUUUCUAACUUGGUAUAUAAUCUUGCAUCUCUAAGUUUUUAUAAUACGCAAUGAACAUGAAGCUCAUAUUCUUCUAUGUUCUUAGAGUAGAUUAGAAUGUCAUCUAAAUAGCAAACAAUGAAAUCAUCUAAAAACUCAAGAAAAAUAUCAUUUAUAAGAUGUUGAAAAACAGUCGGUGCAUUCGUGAGUCCAAAAGGCAUGGCAUUAUAUUCAAAAUGUCCAUACCUAGUUCAAAAAGUAGUCUUCCAUUCAUCUCCUUCUUUGAUACAAAUUAAGCUAUAUGUUCUUCGUAGAUCUAUUUUGAUAAUAUUCUUUACUUGAUUGAAUUGGUAAAGAAGUCUUAAAAUUAAAGGCAAAAAAUACCUAUUUUUUAUAGUGAUCUUAUUGAGUCUUCGAUAAUCUACACACAUUUGUAGAGAUCUGUCUUUCUUCUUCACAAAUAAGAUAGGAGCCCCAGUUGGAGAUUUAGAAUGGCAUGUGAAGUUCUUUGCCAAAUUUUCAUCAAUGUCCUCCUUUAAUGCAACCAACUCAUUCUGCGAUAAGCUAUAGAUUGGUCCAAAUGGUGGUUGAGCUCCUUCUUGUAGAUCAAUUGAAUAAUCAUAAGGACAAUGCUUGGGGAGAAUAUCUGUAUUUUUCUUUUCAAAAACGUCUUGAAAUUCUUGAUAUUGAUUAGGAAUAUCACUCAACAUUGUUUCACCAUUAAAAAUGGGUGUAGCAUAUAUAGCAAAAGAUGGUCCUUCUUUUGCAGCAUGCAUGAAAGCUUUUGCACCUACUAGUAAAGAUUUGGAUGUACUGAACUUACAUACUUCUACUUUACUAACGCAAUCUUAGAUUAUACUAUCAAGAAAGUUAAGGUUACAAGAAAUCCAAUAUAUUUGAGGAUUAUAUUUUUUUAGCUAUGAUAAUCCUAAAAUAAUUGGAUUAGAAGGAGAUUUUAUUAAAUUAAAUACUACUAUGCUAUUAUGAUCUUUAAUUGCUAUAUUUAAAGGAAUAAUUUCUUAGGUAACAUUUCUAAAAGAUAACAAACGACCAUCUAUGACUUCUACAUGUACGGAUUUAACUUUCUUCACUAAAGGUAUUUUUUGAUUUUUAGCAAAAUCUUUGUCUAUAAAACAUGUUGAGGCUCCUGAAUCUAACAAGACAAAGACUUUGUGAUUAUUAGGUCCUAAAUAUAUUUCUAUUAUAAAAUAAAGUGAGGAUUUGAAGAAAAGAUAGGACCUUUAAUAGGAGUUGCACAUGAUUCCAACCGCACGGUCCCUAUUGUAGCUGAAAAAACUCGUUUUGCGGUACAUUAUCUUCUUCGGUAAUUGUGCUCCUUAUUUUGUAAUUGCAUUGCUUCUUUGGAUAAUAUUGAGUAGUGUGCUUAACUUCUCCACAAUAUAAACACAACCUUUCUUGGCGACGUCGAGUCUUUUGCUGCUUUAUGAGAGGUUUAAAAUAUAUCAUAUCAAUUUGCAUUGGUUUCGACUUUGAAAAAUACAUUUUAGAAAAUUUGAGAGCUGCCUCUAUUACUUGACUUAUUUCUGUGCAACCAAAUCUUUGUUCUUAAUGCCUUUCAAAUAAAUGAUUGUCGCAUGUAAUGGCUUGAAUAAUAAAUUAUUCUAAAGAUUCUACUUUUGGUAUUUUUAAUAACAAAUCUUUGACACUAUCCUUCAAUCCAUAUCGAAAUUAGUUGAUAAGUGCUUUAUUAUUCCAGUCUAUGUCGGAAGCAAGGUUUUAGAAUUCGGAAGCAUAUAUUAAAACUGAUCGUGAUCUUUGUCAUAAGGAUAAAAGCUUGAUUUGUGCUACAUGUUUUUCAUCACUUUCUCCAAAUGUGGCCGUAAACACUUCUAGAAAUGAAUUCAAAUCAUAAAGGAGUCAUGAAUCUUUUUCCAUUAAAGGUGCAAAUCAAGAGAGAGCACUUCCUGAUAGUAGUGCGCCUAUGAAUCCAACUUGGAUAAAUCCAUCAAGGUAUUCGAAAGGGUGCAACCUUAGAUAGAGCUUGACUUGUUGCAAAAAUCUUCAAAAUUUUGAUCUUUUUCUAUCAAACUUCUCAAGCAUACUAAUCCUUGUCUCUGUCAUACUUGUAGAAACAAAACUCUCUAGAUUUAAUUGUGAUGUUGAUCUACUUGCUUCUUUCAAUUACACAACUUUUUACCAUAGACUUUGAACUUCUUCCAUAGACGUAGGCAUAAUACUUCCAUAAUUCACAUUGAAAAUACAUGAGAUUUCUACUUUUAGAGUGUUGACAAGCUCAUAAAGAUCUGCCAUAGUUGCAAAUCUAUUCUCAUUUCUGUUGAGAGUAGCAUCCAUAAUCUUUCCUUCCAUAGAAAACUCAAACGAAUUCAAAAGUUAAAUUAGAGGAGGGUAAUCCAUAACUUCUAAAAAUAAAUUCUACAAAGAAAGGUAAUCCUCUCUCUUUAAAAAAAAGAUUAGUAUUAAAAAACAAGAUUUUUUGUUUAAAGGUGAGUAGUCCGCAACCUUCAAAACACAACAAUAGAAAACGAGUAAUCCAUUCACUUCUAAAAUAAGACAGAAAUAAUAUGAUAGUACUCUUGUCAAACUAUCAAGGACAUGAAUCUCGAAGAAAGAGAAUCCUCAAUACACUCUUCAAUCACUAAAGACAACUAGAAAAUCACUCAAAAGGUGAUGUAAUAUUAACUAGAAUGGCUAUUGCUAAAAAUAAGAAGACUAGAAAGUCUUGAAACAAGAUUAAGACUAGAAAGGUAUUGAGAAGAGUGAAGAAGACUUCACUCUUACCUCUAUAUAUACUAUCUAACUAAGAGCUACGUGGUGAUGUCGUAUAGGACCUCCAACAUGUGUUGACUUUGCUAGCCACAAGUCUUAUCUUGCAAGGCAAGUUAUCUAUGUAUGUACCACGUAGUUGGCUUGUUCUACAAGCUACUACAUGGAAAUAACUUGUUCCACAAGCUACCAAUAUAUGAUUAGCUUUUUGGCCAAGUUUUUAACCUACAAACACAUCUAAAGUCAAAACCAUGUCUAUGAAGCUUCUAAGAAGCUUCUCUAGAAGAUUUUAUGAAAUUAUUCUAUAUUUACCUACUUCUACUUAAUCAUAUAAAUAACUAUUGAGGUAAAUAUAUAUGUCCAUGACAAAUAAUCUACUAUCACAAAUAUAAAAUCAUAAGAACUUGAGAUUGGAAGAUCCAUGAUAAAAUCCAUAAAAAUAGAAGACUAUGAUUAUUUUGAAAUGAGUAAUGGUUGGACAAGUCCAUAUGGUCAAUGACAAGGAGUUUUUGACCUUGAACAAAUGUUAUAUGAUUGGACAAAGUCUUUCACUACCUUCCACAUUUGUGACUAUCAAAAAUCUCUAGAUAUAAGUUCUAAAGUCUUAUUGUAUCCAAAAUAUCGAGCCACUAGAAAAUCAUGAUAUAUUUAAAGAACACAUAAAUGUACAUUUCUUUUUAAAAUCUAUAGGUGUCCUUCAAAAUAAAAUAAGUUGUUUUUUAAUUCAAACUUGGAAGUAUCAUGAAAUUUAAAAGAAAGAUUCUUGAUACCAUGAAGAAGAGGAUCAGAGGACAUACUUGAUUGAAUUAGCUUGAGAAGGAUUGAAUUAAUAUUCAAUAUUUAUUUGAUUACUUAAAGAUAAAAAUGCUUUGGCUUCAAGAAAAUUAUUUAUUUUUUAUUAAAAAACAUAUCUCUUUUUUUUAGUAUAAGAUAAGAAUAUCUAAAAAAGGUAAUUGACAAACCUUAUUAUUUUUUAGAUUGAUAAGUGAUCUUAAAAUCAAAUCUAGACAAAGACAUGCUCUAAUGGACUUAGCUGCAAUUCAAAACAUGUGUUGAUAUAAAAUAUUAAAGAUUCUUAUGGUUGGUAUAAACAAUGAUUGAAUUAGAAGCCUCUUUUAGAUAAUGGCACCAUUCUUGAAAGGAAUCAAUAAUUACAAGAAGUUCUUUGUUGUGAAUCUUAUAAUUGAUCUCAGCUACUGAAGAUUUUUAUCAAUGAAAAGAAAUUAGAUGAAAUUUAUCAUUUAUUUCUAUUUUUAAUAAUACAUCAUCUAAAAUAAAGUCUUAUAUAUUUUUUUUAAUAAAAAAAUGGCUUAAAAAAGUUGACAUAAUAGAAGAUUGAUACAAAACUAAAGGUUUUCUUUAAAACUUCAAAUGUUACUUUUGUUUCUUGAUUCUAUUGAAAUUUGUCUUUAUAAGUCAAACAUAUAAGUGGACCUACAAUUUGAGAUGGGUAUCUACAUUCUUCUUUUCAAAUAUAUCUUUAAAAUCUUGAUAUUGGCUUAGAAUGUCAUUUGAAGUCUUUCCACCAUUAGAAAUAGAUGCAAUAUAAAUGAUAUAAGAUAAUCUUUUUUUUUACAACAUACAAGAAAGCUCUUCCACCUAUAAAUAUAGGUUUAAUUGCACUAGACUUAUGACUUUCUACUUGAUCAACUAUACUCUUAAUUAUACUUUCAAAAAAGUCAAGACUACAAGAAAUUCAAUUUAUUUUUUAGUUAUAUUUUUCUAUCUAUGAUAAAUCUAAAAUGAUUUGAUUAAAAAGAGAUCUAAUAAUAUUAAAUAUUACAAAGCUACUAUGUCCAUUAGUUUUUACUUUUAUAGAAAGGCUUUCAUGAAUAAGAUUUUCUAAAGACAAUGGACUAUCUACAAUUUUUACGUCAACAUGUUUAGUUUUCUUCACUAAAGUUAUGGUAUAUCUUUUAGUAAACUAUUCAUCUAAGAAAGAUAUUGAGAUUCUAAAAUCUAACAAGAUAGAGGCUCUGUGAUAUUUAGAUUCUAAAAUAACAUUUAUCAUAAAACAAGGAGAAGGUUCUAAAGAGAGAAUAGGACCUUCACUAGGUGUUGUAUGGAGUUCCAACUGCACAAUCUCUAUUGUAGCUAGAUAAACUUCUUUGUUAAUAUUCUAUCUUUUUUUUAUGGCUGUAUGCCUUAUUUUUUAAUUGAGUUGCUUCUUUGAAUAAUAUUGAAUAGUAUACUUAGAUUCUCUUCAAUACAAGUACAAUCCUUUUAGAUAAUGACAAAUCUUUUCUUGUUUAGUAAGAGGCUUGAAACAUACUAUAUCAAUUUGUAUAUCUUUUAUUUUUGAAUGUAUAUAUUGAGAAGACGUUGGCAUUAUCAUUAAAUUAUAAUAACAUUGAGAUAUACUUAUGCAAUUCUUAAAUUAAAAUUCAAAAAGUGACUUGUCAUAUCUCACAACAAAGCCAAUUGCUUGAUUCAAUGUUUGAAGAUCAGAUAAGUUGAGCAUGAAUUUUUUUACCUCAUAUUGUAAUCCAUAGAAAAAUUGGCUAACAAAUGUAGCAUCAUCUCAAUUGAUAUCAAUUGCAAGUUGUCAAAAAUAUGAAGCAUAUAACAUUAUUAAUUGAUUGUCUUAUUGCAAAAAUAUAGAUCUUAUUGAUUGUAACACAAAUUGCAUCAUGUUUUCUAUACAUGGAUCAAAACUUUGCCAUAAAAGCCUCCAAAUUAUCCAAUAUUAAAUCUUAUUGUUUAAGAAAAGAUGAAAAAUCAUAAUAAUAUUGAACUUAAAAGAAAUUUCCUAAUAAAUAUAACUUGAAAUCCUAAAAUUAGAUAGCUUUGGAAUUGAAGUUUAAUGACAAGUUGUACUUCAUUGAUAAAUCUUGGAAACUUAGAUCUUGUGCCAUCAAACUUUUCGGGUAGUGCAACUUGUAAAUCAUCACAUUGAUUCAUUAAUUAUUUUAGGAUAAAAAGACAUAUUUAAAGUACUUAUAAGCACAAUAUAUGGUGAAUAGUAAAAAAAAAUUUAAACAAAUAAAAAAUUAAAAUAUUAGUUGUAGAAAUAGAAUCUUAAUAAGUCUUGGAGACAAUUAUCUUAGUUGGUUUAGUAUUUUUUGGUUAUUAUUGAAUAUUAAGGAUUAUUUAUUAAGGUCAAUAUUUAUAUUGGCCCUCUAUCUAAAUAUAUUACUUAUAAAAAACUAUGAAUAUUAGUUAGUAGCUAGAAGAAGCAUAAAAAAGAAUCUCGUGACUUUUUAGUUAUUUAUAUAGAAAGUAAGAUUUAUAGUAGAUUUAAAUUAAUUUUAUUAUUAUAAAAAUUAUCAAGGUAGAAAAAUACAG